UCCCAAAGAUAACAGACUACUUUCCAAACGGUCUGAUGAGUUGGCUGUUAAGGAUUCUCUGGCUCUCAGUGUUCAGUGUGCAGGUUCUGUGUCUAAUAUGGCCCAACGCCUAUUUGCUCAAACCUGCCAAGUUGAAUCAUUGACGGUUGAAGUGAUAAGUCUCAAACAGGAGAUCAGAGGGCUCAAGCAUGAGAAUAAAUAGUUGUACAUGCUCGCACAUGACUAUGCUACAAACAUGAAGAGGAAGCUUGACCAGCUGCAUGAAUCUGAUGGUCAGAUUUUACUUGAUCAUCAGAAGUUUGUGGGUUUGUUCCAAAGGCAUUUAUUGCCUUCGUCUUCUGGGGUUGUACCGCAUAAUGAAGCUCCAAAUGAUCAACCUUCGGUGCCUUCUCCUUUUGGGGUUCUGCCUAGUACUGAGGCUUCGAAUAAUCAUCCUCCGGUGCCUCCUCUUUCUGAGGCUCUGCCGACUGCUGAGACUUCUCCUGAGCAACCUUUGUGAAGGCUCCCUCUUGUUUGUUUAUUUUGAUUAAUGUAUAUGUACAUAUUUGUAACUUAUCAGAGAUAUCAAUAAACAAGCUUUGCUUCAUUUCAACGUAUUGUGUUAAAUACACCAAGGCCUUUUACUAAGUUCUUUGAAUUUUUUCUUUUGUUGAAGCUUGUAUGUUGAAGCUUUGUGAGUGAAGCAUGUAUGUUGAGGUAGUGCUUCCUUAAUUUCCCGAGUGAGGAAAACUUCUCGGUUGGAGACUUGAAAAAUCCAAGUCAUUGAGUAGUCGUGAGACUUCCGAGUAUCAAGGUGCAGUAGCAUAUGGUAGGAGUCCCCCAAGUCUCUGAUCGAGGGAGUUGACGAAUGAGGCAUUUCCUUUCUAAGUGGUAGCCCAAAACUCCUUCUACAUAUAUAUUUGUUAUGAAAGUUGUUAGGCCCAAAGAAGAUGAGGCCUAGGCAAUUUUUUUUUUCGAAUUUUUGUAUUUUUGAAUUUCGGAAUAUAUAUAUAUAUAUAUAUAUAUAUAUAUUUUAAUCUUUGUAGGUGAAGCUUUGAGGUUGAAGCUUUGUUGGGUACCAUGAAUUGAUUUUGCUUUACACUGUCUUGAUCAAGAUAGUGUGAAGCUUUUGUAGGUGAAGCUUUUGUGUUGAAGCUUUGUAGGUGAAGCUUUUAUGGGUGAAGCUUUUGUGGUGGGUGAAGCUCUUGUUGGUGAAGCUUUUAUGGGUGAAACUUUUGUAGGUGAAGCUUUUGUGGUGGGUGAAGCUUUUAUGGGUGAAGCUUUUGUGGUAGGUGAAGCUUUUGUCGGUGAAGCUUUUGUCGGUGAAGCUUUUAUAGGUGAAGUUUUUGUAGGUGAAGCUAUUGUGGGUGAAGCUUUUGUGGGUGAAGCUUUUGUGUUGAAGCUUUGUAGGUGAAGCUUUGGAGUUGAAGUUUUAUAGGUGAAGCUUUUGUGUUGAAGCUUUGUAGGUGAAGCUUUUGUGGGUGAAGCUUUUGUGGUGGGUGAAACUCUUGUUAGUGAAGCUUUUAUGGGUGAAACUUUUGUAGGUGAAGCUUUUGUGGUGGGUGAAGCUUUUGUGGUGGGUGAAGCUUUUGUUGGUGAAGCUUUUGUCGGUGAAGCUUUUGUCGGUGAAGCUUUUAUAGGUGAAGCUUUUGUAGGUGAAGCUAUUGUGGGUGAAGCUAUUGUGGGUGAAGCUUUUGUGGGUGAAGCUUUUGUGUUGAAGCUUUGUAGGUGAAGCUUUGGAGUUGAAGUUUUGUAGGUGAAGCUUUUGUGUUGAAACUUUUGUAGGUGAAGCUUUGGAGUUGAAGCUUUGUAGGUGAAGCUUUGGAGUUGAAGCUUUUGUUGGGUACCAUGAAUUGAUUUUGCUUCAUACUAUCUUGAUCAAGAUAGUGUGAAGCUUUUGAGAAUUUGUAGUUGUCCUCCAUUGAUGAAGCUUUGUUGAAUUUCCCAAUUUUUUUUUGUUUCCACACUGUUGAGCAAGAGAUUGUGAUGCAAGCCACACCUUGUAGUAGUCGAAGGAUUGGAUGAACCAUAUAAAUUGAAUUUGCUUCGAACAAUCUUGAUCAAGAGUGUGUGAAGCUUUCUACGAGUUGUAGUUGCCCUUCAUUGAUGAAGCUUUUGUUAGCACCAUAAAUUGGUUUUGCUUCACACUGUUUUGAUUAAGAGUGUGUGAAGCUUUUGAGAAUUGUGGUUGCCCUCCAUUGAUGAAGCUCUUGUUGGCACCAUAAAUUGGUUUUGCUUCACACUAUCUUGAUCAAGAGUGUGUGAAGCUUUCUACGAGUUGUAGUGUUUGCAUUGUUACAGAGGAGAAAUGUCUGAAGCAGAUGCAAGAGGGCUGAAUAGCUUGAUCUUCGUAUGCCAUGCAUUGAAGUUGUUGUUAGCUUGCAAUAAGACUUUGUUGGUGACUAUAACUCUUGUUGGGCAUAAGUGAUCCCCUAGUUGAGUUGUCAAGCUUGAGGGUUUUUUAUUAUUUGUGAAUGUUAGGAGUUCACAUGUACAAGUUGUACCACUCGUCUUCUGGUAAGUGGAAUGAAUGGUGAGUUGCUUUCAGCACUUGGUUGGUGGUACGAAUGUGAGUUCCUUCAUUACCUUUCAUCACAUUUCAUCACCUGGUUGGUGGCACGAAGAUGAGUUCCUUCUUCACCUAGUUGGUAGCAUGAAUGACAAUUUGCCAAAUGAUAUUAGAGUACGGGUUGUACAUUUCAUCACCUGGUUGGUGGCAUGAAAAAGAGUACGGGUUGUACAUUUCAUCACCUGGUUUGUGGCAUGAAGAUAAGUUCCUUCUUCACCUGGUUGGUGGCAUGAGUGGCAAGUUGCCAAAUGAUAUUAGAGUACGGGUUGUACAUUUCAUCACCUAGUUGGUGGCAUGAAGGAAAGUACGGGUUAUACAUUUCAUCACCUGGUUGGUGGCAUGAAGAUGAGUUCCUUCUUCACAUUUCAUCACCUGGUUGGUGAGAAUAAGGGCAAGGUGUCGAGGCACAUUGUAGCAAGUGUCGAAUGACACAAAGUAUGUUGAACCCUUUCGAAGCACAGUUGGCUUAUGUAUGAAUGUGUUGGAAUGUAUGAUUGAACGAAUAUACUGUGAAGCUGUUGGUUUAUUUGUAUAGUCUUGUUGACAUAUACUUAGACUUUGUUUCAUGUUGGAAACAUUCAUGUUGAAGCUUUGAACCCGAGUGUUUCAUUGUUAGGAAUGUAAGAGGAUUAGGACCGAGUUGUCUAAAUCACCUCUUUAUUGAAUUCAUGCCAAAUAGUCUUUGUUACAUAGGAUGCCGAACGGCUGAAGCUUAACACUUGUACAAUGUGAGUUUACUUGUAAUAGUACUUCAAGUGAUUAGCGUUCCAUGGAUGGCUAAGGGUCUUGCCAUCAGAGCUUCUAAGCUUGUAGGAGCCAGGGCAAUUGAUGCCAACAACUUCAAACGGUCGAUCCCAGUUUGGACUAAGUGUUAUUCACUCGGGACUCUGUCGUAAAGUAAUCUUGUCUUCAAUACCCAGUCCCCCACUUUGAAAGAAUGAGGUUUAACCCUUGAGUCAUAGUAGUUGGAGAUGCGCUGCUUGUAGGCGACAUUCCUCAAGUGAGUCUGGUUUCUGUGUUCCUCGACUAGAUCUAACUUGAGGGUAAGUUGUUUGUCAUUUUCGCUUUGUACGUAGUUCUGGACUCGGAACGUUGCUUGCUUAAGCUCAACUGGGACAACUGCCUCUGUACCAAAGGCAAGUGAGAAUGGGGUUUCUCCUGUUGAUGUACGAUACAAAGUGCGGUAUGACCAAAGAACUUGGGGUACAAAUUCUGGCCAACAACCUUUAGCCUUGUCCAAGCUGGUUUUCAAAGUUCGCUUGAUUAUUUUGUUGAUGGCUUCGACUUGUCCAUUAGACUGGGGAUGAGCUGGGGAGGCAAAACAUAAGUUGAUGUUGAAAUUAGAGCAGAACAUCCUGAACUUAUUGUUGUCGAACUGUCGCCCGUUGUCAGUGAUUAUCGCAUUGGGAAUACCGAAUCUGCAAAGGAUGUUCUUCCAUACGAAGUCUUCUAUUUUUGCCUUAGUAAUGGUCGCCAAGGGUUCUACUUCAGCCCACUUUGUGAAGUAGUCAACUGCAACAAUUGCGUAGUGGACCUUACCUUUCCCUGCAGGCAUUGGGCCGAUCAAAUCAAGUCCCCAUUGGGCUAAGGGCCAAGGGCUGAUCAUAGGAGUGAGCGGGUCGGGAGGGGAAUGAUGAAUAGUUGCGUAGCAUUGACACUUAUCACAUGAGCGAGAUAUUCUGAUGGCAUCUUGGUGGAGUGUUGGCCAGUAAUAUCCUUGGCGAAAAGCCUUGUGUGCUAAGGAUCGAGAUCCAGCAUGAUCUCUGGACUCCUUCAUGUAUUUCCCAAAGGACAAUUUCCGCCUCUGCGGGCGUAAGGCAUCUUAGGUAUGGUAGGUUAAAACCCCGCUUGUAGAGUUGGUCAUUAAUAAUCAAGUAACAGGUAGCCUUGUAUCGAAUCUGCUUAGCUUGGACUUUGUCAUUUGGAAGGGUGCCAUGAGCAAGGAAUCUAUAAAUCGGGGUAAUCCAACUAUCCCCUAUUGUAAAUUGCACACUUCCGUAACCAUAGUGCUUGGUGCUGCCAACAAUUCGACCUGAAUUUUUCUCCCAAUCUUGUCUUCCACCGCUGAGGCGAGGCAAGCCAAAGCAUCUGAAUGACUGUUUGCCGCUCGAGGAAUUUAGGUGAUAUGGUAGUGGAAGUGCUUGAGCAACAAUUGUGUUUGUGCCAGAUAUGCUGCCAUGGAGCUAUCAUUAGCGUCAAAGUUAUUGGUGACCUGGUUAACCACCAAUUGGGAGUCACUGAAGAUAUCAAUUAGUUUAACCCCAAGGUGUUUGGCCAAACGUAAGCCUGUUAUGAGGGCUUCAUAUUCGGCCUCAUUGUUUGACGCUUUGAAUUUGAAACAAAGAGCAUACUCCAUUGCCACUUUGUCAGGGGUAGUAAGGACUAGUCCUGCUCCACAACCCUGUUGGUUGGACAAGCCAUCAACAUAUAAACUCCAUGCUGGGGCUGUUGGUUCUAUUUUCUGAGCUUCCGAGGGUAAUGAAACCACUUCUUUAGGCGUAGAAACAAUGUCAACAAGAUAUGUGAAGUCGGCGAUGAAGUCUGCCACUGCUUGGCCCUUCUCAGCUGGCUUUGGUUGGUAGGAGAUGUCAAAAUCACCCAAUGCUAUCGCCCAUUUUAUCAUUCACCCCGAAGUGUCAGGACUUUGGAGUAUCUAUCGAAGAAGAUGAUUGGUAAGCACGAUGAUGAAGUGUGCUUGGAAGUAAGGGCGAAGUUUUUGAGCAGACAUGACCAAUGCUAGAACCAAUUUCUCAAUGUUAGAGUAUCGUGUCUCUGCAUCUUGUAAGGCCUUGCUAGCAUAGUAGACAGGCCGUUCGACAUUACCAUCAUUUCGAAUGAGAACGAAACUUACUGCUGAAGCCGAUACCAACAGAUAGAUAAUGAGAGUGUCACCAACCUCAGGUUUGGAGAGCAAAGAGGCUUUACUCAUGUAGUCUUUGAGGUUCUUGAAUGCCUCGGCACAUUCAUCAGUCCAUGUAAUGUACUUCUUACUUCCCUUCAGUGCUUUGAAGAAAGGAGCACAUCUUCAGAAUGGUGAAAGUUUCAGAUAGGUUAGCGAUGUGUUGGUCAGCAUGUUUGCUCUUGACUAGCAUAUCAUCAACGUAAACUUCCAUGCUCUUCCCAAUUUGUUCGGCGAACAUUGAAUUGACUAGUCUCUGAUAAGUCGCUCCUGCAUUCUUUAGGCCGAAGGGCAUGACUUUAUAACAAUAUAGUCCCUUGUCAGUAGUGAAGGCUGUGUGUUCUUGGUCCGAAGGGUUCAUGAAGAUUUGGUUAUAUCCUAAGUAAGCAUUCAUGAAGCUCAGGAGUUCACACCCUGCUGUAGAGUCUAUAAGUCUGUCAAUGAGAGGAAGAGAAAAGCUAUCAUUCAUGCAUCCUUUGUUUAGGUCGGUAUAGUUGACACACAUUCUCCACAAGACCUUUUGGAGCAAGACACUUUCUUUGGUCAGAUUUUUCUUAACAAGGACCACAUUUGUUACCCAUGUUAGGUAAUUAACUUCGCAGACGGAGCCUAUGCCUUUGAGUUUUUCAACUUCUGCCUUCAUUGCUUCGUAUCGUUCAGCGUCAUAAGAUCUUUACUUCUGUCUCAUCGGCUUAGUCUUGAGGUCAAUACUCAAGCGAUGACAUAUGAUAUCGGGAGAGAUGCCUGGCAUGUCCUCGUAUGACCAGGCGAAGACCUCAGUGUUCUGUUGCAAAAAAGAGAUCAAUGCCAACCGAAUGGGUGGUGACAAGGUGGUGCCAAUCUUCACCAUGCGAUCUGGAUAAUCUUUUGAUAUAGAAACCUUCUCCAGCUCUUCAACGGGUUAUGCUUGCUGGGUGAAAAAGUCAUCUCGAUGAUCAUCGGGUUGACUGUUAUCAUCGUGAAGAUCCAAGUUGGCUUCGUCCGAGGUGGUCUUUAUGACUUGGCAUGUAUAGAAAAGGUUUCCUUGGGCAUAAGCAGGUGUUGUUGCUUGACUGAAGUGUUGUAACAUGAUCGUGCACUAAGUUGAUCUACUAUGAUGUAACCAUUGCCAUAGGGGGUUGGAAAUUUCAUCAACAACAUAUGUGUGGAUACCAUGGCCUUGAGAUCAUUGAUGCCUGUGUGUCCAAAUAUGACAUUGUAUGCCGUUGGGCAAUCAACUACCAGGAAGUUAGUGGUAAUGGUAGCUGUGUAAGGGCAUAUACCAAUGGUGAAAGGUAAGUGUAUGCUCCUUAUAGGUUGCACGAUAUCACCGAAGAAGCUUAUCAGAGGAGAAAUCGAGCGAUCGAGCAAGUGUUCAGCUACAUUAAGUGCCCUGAAAGCUUCAGCAAACAUGAUAUUGACCGAAGCCCCCGUGUCUACUAGGAUUCGUCUUACUUCAAAGUUGGCUAUGUGAGCCUCCACGAUCAGUGGGUCAUUGUGAGGGUAGAUGAUACCUUUUUCUUCCUCAGGGUAGAAACAUAUUGGAUCCCAGUUGGGCUUUUGAUACUUGCCUCCCCUGAUGUCUUCCACGUGAAACACUUGGUGGCCAGGCCUUAAAGCUCGUUCGCUGUUUUUCAUGGCCUUAUUGGAAGAUUCAGAUAUGGGUGUGCCGCCGCUUAUGGAAUAUAUCACAUUCACUUGGCGUUGGUUACGGUUAUCCCUUGAAUGGUGAAGGAGGAAUCAAUCAAUUUUUCCUUCUUGCGCCAAAGCUUCAAUAUGAUCACGAAGGGUGAUACACUUCUUGCCGUCAUGGCCGUUAUGCUCGUGCUAGCAGCAAAACGUGCCCAUGUUCUUCGUGGGCUUGUAACCCGACUGCCUCGGCAUUGGCUUUGGUAUCAAGUGUGCUAUGCUGGGGUAAAUGGCCACGCAUGUGGCGUUCAAAGGUGUGUAUGUCUCAUACCUCGGGGUAGGGCCUGUCUUGACACGUGUUUGGCCCACUAUGUUGACUGCCUGGGGGUGGGCAUUAUCAUGGCGAUACCCUUGGUUAUCGUGAUAGUGUCCUUUACUUCUUUUACUAAAAUGAGACUGGAGAGGAUGAAAAUCUUUCCUUUUGCCCUGAGAUUGAUACGUCUGUUGACUUGGCGAAGUAUUAAGUAAGGCAGGGAGAAGCACCGCUGCCAUUUGGAAGGUCGAGGUCUUCUCAUUUGGUUAGAUCUGGCUUCCACUCCCUACUUGCUGAUAAGGGGUGGUUGUGGGGGUUUCCCUUGAUAUGUCCUUGCCUCAGCGGAGGCAUGGUUGUAAGCAUGUGCCAUCACCUCAAAGUAAGUCUUCCAAGUGUUGGCAUUGAUCAUGUACUUGAAGAAACAAUCACGUAGGCCUGCCGUGAAGGCUUUGAGGGCAGUCUUGUCGUCUGCCUCGGUACAACGGGAAUACUCAUGGCUGAAGGGGCCAAUAUACAUACGUAAUGACUCGUCUGGCUUCUGGCGAAUAGUGUACAAGUCAUCCGCAGAGUGAAAGCGAUCGGUCUGAAAAUGUGUUGAGAAACAAACAGUUCUUCAAUUCCUCAAAUGAGUCUACCAUCUCAGGUGGAAGACGACAAUACCAGUUUAGAGCUCCGCCAGAGAGGGUGGAGGGGAAGAGAAGACAUCGCUCUUCGUUGGUGUGCAUCCGGUAUGCCAUGGUGGACUCAAAGAGGUUAAGGUGUUCAAUCGGGUCCUCAUUUCCAGUAUAGAGUUGCAAGCCAAGCUUCUGUUUUUGCUUUGCUUGGAGGGGGUGUCGAGGAUCCUCCUUGUAAGAGGGCCAGGCCUAGGUUGGUUCCAAUCAGGUAUCUCAUCUUUUCGUUCAGCCUUCAACUUGUUGACUUCCUUAAGGAGCUGUAGGACAAGAGGGUCCUGAGUGGAGUCAUGUACCACUGGAGCUUUCUUUCGUAAAUCUCCAUCUCCUCUUGGAAGUAGGAAGGUUUGAUAAAGAGCAUGUGAUUUUUCCUUGGACUCGCCGUACUGACUUCCAAUGUAUGUCUGUCGGAACAUCUCUGAGUCCCUUAUACCUUCGUAUUCCUCUAGAACUUGUUUCCCCUUCCCUAAAUUGGUAGCCGGCCUGGGACAUGGGAGGGGACCGAGUAUUUCAGAGACCCUUGGGUCAUUGAUCUUUGAGCUUACAUGGAUGAGAUUGUCUCGACGUUGUUUUAGGAAGUCUCGACAGUCGUGAAAGACGGCUUUCGAUCCUUCCACUCCUUCUGUAAGGAGGUGCCUUCCUCCAUUCCUCCUGCUUCGGGUCGAAGCAGCUGGGUUGAGAGAAGUCUCAUGUUGGUCGCCAUUUCGAUGAGUAGCUCACUCCUCAACAAGAAUAGCCAUGUCGAGGGCAAAUGACCCUCCGUGUUGAGGGGCACCCAGUUGAUGGUUGACUUCCACAGGGGUGAUGAGCUCGUGUGUUUAGUAUAUCUAGCCUCGUAGAGCAUCUCAAAGACCUUCUCAUACUGCUAUUAGAGGAUCUCAUUCUUCAUCGUUAUCUUGUUGUUCUGAGCCUCCAGCUCAUCGACUUUAGCCUGAAGAGAAAACUUCUUUUGUUCAUUCUUUCGUUGAUUCGCACCAGGUGCAAAAGGGGUGUCAUUCUGUGUGAUGUGGCUUCCUUCACUCUCCAUGUUGGAAAGGGAUGCCUGGUCAAAAGAGAGUGUACGAAUGGUGGAAACUAGCUUAACAAAGCUGAAGAGAGUGUACGAAUGGUGGAAACCAGCUUAACAAAGCUGAAGAGAGUGGGAAUAAGUGUCGUUCCCACAUACGGCGCCAAAUGUUGAUGCACAAAAUUAGUGGGGACUUUGGUACAACAGAAAAUGUUAAGUUUGUGACCUUCGCUAGAUUGCUCCGAUCACUAGUGUGGAUAAGUAUGUAAAUGGAUAGAGAUAGGGAAGUAAACACAAGAUGUACGUGGUUCACCCAGAUUGGCUACGUCCACAUAGUAGAGGAGUUCUCAUUAAUUGUGAAGGGUUUACACAAGUACAUAGGUUCAAGCUCUCCUUUAGUGAGUACAAGUGAAUGAUUUAGUACAAAUGACAUUAGGAAAUAUUGUGGGAGAAUGAUCUCCUUUUAUAAAAGAGAGUUUCUAGCUUUGUUCUGACAUUGACACGUGUCGUGUUGUGAUUGGCUUCUGAUGCAUGUCACGCUAUGAUUGGCUUCUGAUGUCGACAAGUAUCGCGCUGUGAUUGGCCUCCUGGUUGGAGGGAAACUCUUAUGGGUCCUUGACGGUAUAACGUUGACCGGUGCUCGGUAGUUUCGGGAUUGGUCAAGUAUGGUACAAACAAUUUUCAAUUAGAUUUGAAAAAUGUCGUUUACGUACCUUCAAUGAGAAGAAAACUUGUUUCAGUUUCAAGAUUAGUUUUGUUAGGGUUUUAUUUUACUAUGAAUAAGUUUGGCUUCAAUAUUUUUUAUAAAUUCUUCCCAUAUUGGUACAGGAUUUUUGGUUGAUGGCAUGUUUCAGUUUUCACUUAAGAAUAAUCAAGUUAUCUUUAAUACUGAGAGCAAAGAAACAAAAUCACUUUAAUCGUCAAACUUAUGGCAUAAAAGGCUUUGUCAUAUUUCAAAACCAAGGAUGGAACUCUUAGUGAAAGAUGAAAUCUUGCCUCCGUUAAAUUUUAAUGAUUUUGAUAUUUGUGUGGAGUGCAUCAAGGGAAAAUUCACUAAGUCUAGGAAGGAAGGUUCCACACGAAGCAAACAACUUUUGGAACUCAUUCAUAGGGACAUUUGUGGUCAUUUUUGUACACAAAUUAUUGAAGGAAAUAAAUAUUUUAUCACUUUCAUUGAUGAUUUUACAAGAUUUUGUUAUGUUUAUUUAAUUUCUGAAAAACUAAAGUCCUAGAAGUUUUUGAAAUUUACCAAAAUGAAGUUGAAAACCAGUUGGAAAGAAAAAUUAAGGUUGUAAGGUCUGAUAGGGGAGGUGCGUACUAUUAAAAGUAUGAUCAAACAGGUAGACAUCCAGGUCUUUUUGCUUCUUUCUUGCAAAAUCAUGGUAUUGUUGCUCAACAUACCACUCCAGGAACCCCCGAGCAAAACAGGGUGGCAUAAAGAAGAAAUAGAACACUUCUUGACAUGGUUCGAAGCAUGAUAAGCAAGGUAAAACUCCCAGAUUUUUUUUGUGGGGUGAGGCAAUGAAGACAACGAGUUACAUUCUUAAUAGGGUUCUUAGCAAAACUGUGGAAGAGACUUCUUUCGAGUUAUGGGCUAGGAGAAGCCUAGUUUAAAACACAUUCAUGUCUAGGGUUGCCAAGCAGAGGCAAAGCUUUACAAUCCUAAUGGUAAGAAAUUAUAUUCCAAGACCAUCAGCUGUUACUUCGUGGGUUAUGCAGACAGAUCUAAGGGUUAUAGAUUUUAUCGCCCUAAUUACAGCAUGAAAUUCGUUGAGACUGCAAGGGAUAUUUUCUUGGAACACAUUAAAGGUAAUGACGACUUUACUUCCAAUCCAAACAAGUUUAUGUUCGAGGAAGGAUAAGAUGCGAUUGUCGAGAAUGGGGCAGAGAUUGAAGAUUAUAAUAAAGUGACUACCGUGGUUGAUAUUCUUGGGCAAAUGACUGAUAUUAAUGUUGAUGACAACCAUGAAGAUCAACUACACAAUAAUUAUGAAUAAGGUGAAAAUGUAAAGGUUCAAAAUGAGAUUGAAGUGCAUGGGAUCAGGAUCCUCUCCUGAGUAGAUGGAGAGGAUCCUCCUGACCAGGCCUAUCGGGCCGUUCAAUUUUUAUCCAACGGCUACAAACAAGAAGCUCCUCUAAAAGUUAUAAUAAUUAUAGCCAAUGGAUAAAAAUUGAAUGGUCCAAUGAGCUUGGUCAGGAGGAUCUUCUCCAUCUGCACAGGAGAGGAUCCUGAUCCAAGUGCAUGCAGAUGUCACCAAUGAAGCACAACCAAUCAUGCAGCAUGCACAACCAAUCAUACAACAAGCACAAACAUUAAUGCAACAACCUAUUAUUCCAUUGAGAAAAUCAACUAGGGUAAGAAAGUCUAACACUCUAGAAGAUUUUGUUUAUUUUUGCUGAAAGUGAAUCACACUUGUCAUAAUUCGAAGACCCUAAUUCAUUCAAGGAAGCCAUGACUAGUGGUAACUCCGACAAGUGGAUUGAUGCAAUGAAAAAUGAAUUGAGUUUCAUGGAAAGCAACAAUGUUUGGGAAUUAGUAGAACCAUUUCAGGGCAUCAAACUGAUAGGGUGUAAGUGGGUGUUUAAGACAAAAAGAGAUUCGAAAUGAAGCAUCGAAAGGCAUAAGGCAAGGCUAGUUGCAAGGUGAUUUACUCAAAGAGAAGGGGUUGAUUAUAUAAAGACACGUUCAGUCCGGUAUCGAUGAAGGAUGCAUUCAGAGUUAUUAUGAAAAUGGUGGUGCAUUUUGACUUGCUUUUACAUCAAAUGGAUGUAAAAACAGCGUUCUUAAAUGGUGUUUAGAAGAAGACAUAUACAUGGCUCAACCAGAGGGUUUUAUGGCGGAAGGGAAAGAACACUUAGUUUGUAAAUUGAAGAAAUCCAUUUAUGGAUUAAAGAAAACGUCGAGGCAGUGGUACUUAAAAAUCCAUCGAGUAAUAACGGAGCAUGGUUUUUUUUAGAAUCCCUCUGAUGCAUGCAUUUACUUGAAAAUUAGUAGGAUCAACUUUAUUAUUUUGGUGCUCUACGUAAAUGACAUUUUAUUGGCCACAAGCAGGAUGAGUCUCUUAGAUGACACCAAGUCUUUCAUGCAUGCAAAACCAUUUUGAAAUGAAGGAUUUGGGUGAGGCUGGAUAUGUUUUGGGAAUCAAGAUUAAAAGGGACAGGAAGUGAGGGUUACUAGGGUUGUCAUAGAAGGGAUAUAUAGAAAAAGUGUUGAAGAUAUUCAAUAUGUCAAUUUGUGGAACUACAGAAAUGCCGAUAUCCAAGGGAGACAAAUAGGUAAAGAAUAGUGUCCUACAAAUAACUUAGAGAAAGAAGCCAUGCAAGACAAGCCAUAUUCAUCACUAGUUAGGAGCCUAAUGUAUGCACAAGUUUGUACAAUGCCUGAUCUUGCUUUUACAAUUAGUGAUUUGGGGAGGUUUCAGUCCAACGCUGAUGAGGCACAUUGGAAUGCAGGUAAGAGAGUAUUGAGGUACCCUCAAAGGACUAAAUCACACAUGUUAGUCUACAAAAGAACUGGUGAUCAACUGGUUCUAGAAGGAUAUAGUGAUGCAUAUUUUGCAGGUUUUCCCGAUGAAUUGAAGUCAACUUCUAGUUAUGUAUUCAUGAUGGGUGGUGGAGUUAUCUCUUGGAAGAGUGUUAAACAAGAUAUAGUGGCAUCGUCAACAAUAAUGGCUGAGUACUUGUCCUGUUGUGAAGCAAUUAAUUAACGAGCCUGGUUGAAGAAUUUUAUCAUAGGUCUCAGAAUAGUUGACUUGAUCUCAAGGCCAAUACAAUUUUAUUGUGACAACAAUGCAGCCAUAUUCUUUACCAAGAAUAACAAAAGGUCCAAUGCUACCAGAAAUUUGGAUAUUAAGUUCCUUGUUGCUCGUGAGAAGGUGGCAGAUGUCUUGGUUAAAAUAGAUUACAUGGAAACAACUUCCAUGAUUGCUGAUCCAUUAACCAAGCCAGUUCCAGUGGUGGUCUUUAAGAAACACAUACAGAAGAUGGGGGUUUUAAAGAACCUUGAUAUCGUGGAUUAGUGGGAGCCUAUGGUUUGAUUACAUUAUGUUCUUGUUUUCAACCUUAGUUAUUUGAUACAUGCAUUAAAGUUUACAGUUUAUCUUAGCUAAUAAAGUAAUAAACUGCUGGUUGCAGAAGUUUCCCAUGUUUGCAGUUUAUAGUUAUGAUACAAUACUUCUCUUUAAUGUGUUAUUUCAGAAACAAUUUAUAUUUAAUUGUUAUUACAGAAGGCAAUUUAAAGGUCUCAAUGUGAGACAAUGAAGAAGACUAGUUUACUAGUUUUAUUAAAGGUGGAUUAUAAUACAAGGUGCAUUACAGAAACAUUCAAGCAUGCAUGUUGUAUUAAUUUUUCAUGUCUUGUUGGAGUUUCAUGUGUAUGAUAGUUUCAUGAUAGUGAUUCAGGGAAUAGUGUUUAUGUUUUAAGGACAUGACUCCCUUUAGUUCUUCAUGAAUGCUGGCAUAUGACAGAAACUGUUACUGUGUGAAAACAAGUGUUGGCUCUAGUGGGAGAAUGUAAUCUAAUUAAAGCUACACACUUGGUUUAUCAUGUGCUUAAAGGAUUGAAGUCAUAAGAGAUUGGGAUAGACUAGACUUGUAAAGCUAUUAGGGGAUGUUUUUUUUUAUCUAAUAUAAAGUUGAAAGUAAUCUUGGUAUCAAUAGGUUUAACUAUUAUGAUAUGAUAACUUUGGUUUGUGGUGAUAAGGAUAUUAGUUUAUACAAAUUGAUUAGGAUUACAUGAUGGGAAGUAACCAAAUCAAAUACCACCACUAAGGAUAUAUAAUAGAGGUUCCUGCAUUCACACUGAUUACGCAAAACAGAUAGAACAAGCCCUAUUGUUUGUUAAUUGCAAUUUGCAUACAAUAGUGUUGAGUGUAAAAAAGCUCUAGUUUUUCUGCUGCAAUGGCUACACAAGGUUAGUGGUUAAUUGUAUUUGUGAUUUGCUUAUUUUCGCUAUUAACUAUAUUACAUGGAUUUCUGGGGUUAUCUUAAAAGGGUUACAUCGACAAGGUUUUAAAAAGAUUCAACAUGGCUUAUUAUGGCAUUACUGAAAUGCGAAUUUCAAAGGGUGACAAAUUAAGCAAAGAGCAGUGUCCCAAGAGUGAGUUGGAAAGAAGAAACAUGGAAGGCAAACCAUAUGCCUCUCUUGUUGGAAGCUUGAUGUAUGCACAAGACCUGAUCUUGCUUUUAGUAUCAAUGUUCUUGGAAGGUUUCAAUCUAACGCAGGGGUGCCUCACAUGAAUGUAGCGAAGAAGGUAUUGAGGUACCUUCAAAGAACCAAGGAACAUAUGCUUAUUUACAGGAAAACUGAUGAGCUUGUGUUAAAAGGGUAUAGUGGUUCAGAUUUUGCUAGAUGUCCAGAUGACCUUAAGUCUACUUCAGGUUAUAUUUUCACUAUGGCAUGUGGUGCAGUUUCGUGAAGAAGUGUGAAACAGGAAACAGUGGCAGCCUCUACCAUGGUGGCUGAAUAUCUCUCAUGUUGUGAAACUGUCAAUCAAGCUAUAUGGUUGAAAAUUUUCAUUGCAGGACUUAGUGUAGUGGAUUCUAUUUUAAGACUAAUUCAAAUUUAUUGCGAUAAUAAUGCAGCUAUUUUCUUCAACAAGAACAACAAAAGAUUGUCUGCAACAUGGAAUUUAGAUAUCAAAUAUUUGAUUGCUCGAGAGAAGGUUUGGUGAAGAUUGAUUACUAGGAGACCGGUUUUAUGGUUGUAGAUCCUUUAAACAAAGCAAUUCAGGUAUUGGUUUUCAAGAAGCAUGUUGCAAAGAUGGGUCUGUUAGCUAGUUUUGAUGAUGUUAAUUAGGGGGAACAAGUAAAUCCUCUAACAUGUUUUGUUAUCAGUCACUAGUUCACAUGACCGGUAUUUAUGAAUAAGUAUUAAUAAAGUUUUCUUCACUGAUAAGGUUUCCCCACUAAUGAAGUCUUAAAAGCUAUGUGGUUGUUUCGAAGUUUUCCCUCUAGAUGCACAGCUUUAGUUAUGACAAUAUGCGUAUAUUUUAUUAUGCAUAAUGGUUUUGACAAUAUUAUGAUUGUCAGUAGGACAAACAACCAAGAGUUUCAAUAUCAAACAUUAAGAUGAAUUGAUGUAUCGAUUCUUAAGGGGACCAAGUGCAGGAUGUGAGAAACUAUACAUCUACAGACACAUUUUACACAAAUUUUUUGCAUCUUGUAUGUGUUAGUUUUGUGAAUGGAAUUAUGGGGAUAUUGUUCGACGAAUUGAACAUGUUACCCUUUAGUUCUUCAUGACUACUAAUUAAUGACUUGAACUUGUAUUCGUGAUUCAAGUUGGUGCUGAUCUCCUGGCCAUUUAAGAAUAACUUCACAUAAGGCCAGCUACUGUUGAAUCAAGCGUUAACUCUAGUGGGAGAAUGUAAGUUCUAAUGAGAGCUGAACACUUGAUCAUCUUUAGUUUGGAGACGUGAGGAUUUAAGAGAUUGGAAUCAACUUAAGGUUGUAAGCUGAUAAGGAAUUUGUAUAAUAGGGGUUUCAGCUAAAACAGUCACGAUAGUGUUGAAACACUUAUAAUGGAUGUGAAUGAUAGGUUUUCUCAGUGAUAAGGUUAGAUUGAUUAGGAUUGUAUAAUGGGAAGAGCCCUUAUCAAUCAUUAUCGUAUGCAGUAUAAAAAAGGGGUCCAUUCGCUCUCUCAAUCACGCAAACUAAAGAAUACUCAGAUCCCAUUCAUUGAGUGUGAGGAGAGCUGCAGAAGAUCCCUAGUUUCUAAGAGAUGUCUUCUCAGGUUAGUGGUUACUUUUGGUACUGUGAUUAUUCUAUUCCGCUGACUUUAUUUAUAUUGAUCAUACAGUUGUUACCAGAGCUUUAUGUGGGCUAUACGUGGUACAGUUUUCGGUUCUGAUUUAUUUAAGUUGCAGCUGGUUGUUUCGCCUGGAUCACAGUUAGUUCUGUUAUUGCCAGAUCUAUUAUAGCAGAGGGCGACUUGGGCCAAAUAUAUUAAUGGUUUACUUCCAUUGUUGCUCUUCUUCUGGUAUUGUUGAUAGCAUCUGAUAUUGACGGAAUGUCCGCCGGUUUCGGACUCAAUUGCCUUUGUUAUCUGAUCGAUGGAGUACAAUUUGUACAACGACAUCUUGGGCUGAAGUGGUUGGGGUACAAUAUUAUCCUUCUGCAAGAUUUGAGCUAUAUCAAAAUCAUGGUACAUCGCUAGGGUCUUCCGGAAGUACUCGGUCUUCAGGAACACAUUGUCGGAGCACUUUCCGUGCUUAUCAUACUCUCGUUGCCAGAAUUCGACAGGCUUCCCUUUUCUCCAAUCCCACCACGAACUAAGUAGCGCCUUUUUCAGUGCAUCAUCCAUCUACAUAUAUUAUUUAAUUAAAACAUAAGAAGAAAACUAGUUAAGAAUACACGUACAUACACGGUACACAUGCAGGGAGAUAUAUAAUGAUACAUAUAUACAUACAUACACACACGUAGGGACGCACAUGCAUAUUAACUAUUGAGAGUUAAUUUGUGAAUAAUUACCUCAUUCACAUUAAAGGCAUCCCCUUUGCAGCCAAGGGAUGAAGAGGAUGAUUUAUUCGCAGGCCAGAGACCAUGAAUAGUGAACUGAAGAUGAGAUGGUUGCAUGAUGUGGCAUUUAUUCACCCCCCCCUGUAGCUUGGCAUUCAGCAGCUGGCCAGAACUGAACAUGCAUAAAGUAUUGGAAUGGUGUGUAAGCGGAUGAAACUGUGACAAACAAGAAGAAAAAUAAGACUUGCACUAACUUCGACUCCAUUUCUAAUUCUACCUGAUGUUUUGAAGACAAAGUUGCAUGUAUUUAUAGUACCUAUGGGGUGGAGGUGGAGGUGGUGGAGGGGUUAAAAUGAAACCAUCGAAACAAAUGCGAAAUUGUUAAAAACUUAAUUAACAUUCCUACUCCCACUACAAAUGAAAAUCAAUACAAGUCUGAAAUUCAGUAUAUAACUUGUUACAUAUCACUAUCAAGUUUUCAAUUUAUAGGCAAAAGAAACUGCAUGCAUGUGUAGACAUGCUGUGAGAAAUUUGAAACCAACACAUGCUGUGAGAAAUUUGAAACCAACACAUGAUGUGAGAACUUUGAAACUAACACAGAUUAUUGUUUUGUUUCCAUUUCAAGAAGUCACCAACAAAUCACAUAUAUACAUUUUUCAAGUACUCCAUCACGACCAUUACACAUGCCACCUUCCCCCGUCUAAAUAAUAAAUUAAUUUCCAAUCAAGCCAAGGCUGCUCACGUGAGGAACCUUCAUUCGACCUGAAUGUCAUGAAUAUACAUCAAUAACAAACCCACUUAGUAUUAUGACUAUUUUUCCCUUUAUGGUAAAUAUGAAAUUAAAUUGAAGAAUUCCUAAUUAUAUACAAAUUAUUUACCUAUGAUAUUGAUGUUUAAAACACUUCUUUUUUUGUUGAAUUGAUAGUCUAUAUCUAUGAAAAAUAUUUACUUAACAUAUUCAUCUAAUUACCUAUAAGAUAGAUAGCUAUGGAUAAAGAUACCAAGACAAUUAUAUACCUAAAGCAAAGAUAUAUAAACACGAUUAUGAGUUAUCACCAUAACAAGUUCUAAGACAUGUAGAAGCAAAAAGAAAAUAUACUACAUGUUGUUGGCAUUUUUGAUUGGGUAUUUCAAUAUACAACCCCUCAUUGAUCAUGUUAAUAUCAUUCUUAAUGAUUUCUUCUAAUCUCAAUUUCAAUUUUGUUUGCAAACCAGAAACUAAUGCAUUAAAGCGGUUAUAAUAUUGGGGCUAUAAAUUAGACUUUCUCUUUAAAUAUGCCAUCUUGAUUAACCCAUUAAUUGGGCAAUUAUAUAGGCUAACGUUUUUAGACCAUGCUUAAUCAUGUUUACUUUUCUCAUAUUCUAUGUAAAACCAACUCUUCAAGCCGUGAGGAUUAUGGUUGAUCUUUUUACCUAGAAUACUCCUAAAUUUGGUGGGCCGGAGAUCGAACCUCACAUCCCCAUCUUGGGAUCUAUCCAGAUGAUGAGUCGUGAGGAUGCCCUUAACAAGUUUAGAUUUGCUCCUAUGGAUGACAUCGUUGCUAAAGUUGAUCGGGUGAUUACUAAGAAUUACUAUCACCAGUGUGUUUCACUAUUGAUGGAUCGAAAGGUAUAUAUUUUGUCGAUCCCUUGUUAAUACAUAUUCAUUUUCUUGAUGUUUUGUUUUGUUUCCUUUUCAUCUUUCUCGUUUUGGUUUGAGCUUGAAUAGACUCACUUAUCAUUACACCUUCUUUUCUUAGUGAUGUGAAAAUAUAUAAGCACACAAAUUAAACCCUCUUUUGACAAUUGUAGUAUAUAUGUAAGUAGGGAUCGUUCUUAAACCGGGGAUUAUGAGGGAUUGCUAAACACUUUAAACUGACUCAAAUAGAUAAAACUAAGCUUUAAAACACUUUACUAGACUUAAAGACUCAAAACAAGUUCACAAGACUCAAAAUAAGCUAAAAACACUCAAAACUGCCUAAAAACACAAACUGGACAGUUUCUGACUCUAAACACAAUUUUGGACGAAAAUUAGUUUUAACUUAACUCAAAACACUUAAAAACACAAUCUAAAACAAAUCCUAACUAGUUAGACACUCUAAAGUAAAGGGGGAUUUGGUUUUGGACGAAAAUAAAGUAAAUAAAACAAGAACUAAAACUAGGCAGAUUUGCACGAAUUUGGUGGAAUAAGAUGGAUGAUGGGCUAGCUAGGAGGUCUUUCUCCACACAUGGCAUACUUGAUUACAAAACAAUUUCCAGUUGCUUUUUCAAUGAACCAUGAACCUCAACACCCCAAGUUAAUUAGGUACGCUUAAAUUAACCCUCAGAUUUUCCUUAAGUCAUUGAAUUGAAUGGAAUUGGCGCAUCUCAAUCAAAUUAUUCCUCAAAAGUUCCCUACAUGAAAGCGCAUAAUAGAGAAACAAUCAAAGAUUAUUAAGUUCUAUGAAAAUCAUAAGUGUUGACAAGGCAUUCGUAACUAUGAAAGCACAUGAUACUUAUGCCAGGAAUUUACUUAACAUGAUUGUGACUAACAACCUUUACUACUUAUGAAUAUAAGUUCAUAACGAUUAGGUGAAACUCCCUUAUAUCCUAGCAUCAAAUUUAUGCAUGCAAAUUAAGUGUGCACUCUCAACUCACAUACAUAAACAAGUUUUAAUUCAAACAGAUAAGUAAAUUGAAUUCACAAUUCAUGAAAUCACAACUGGAUGUAAUCAAAUCGUAUUGCAAAUAGCCAUGGUUUCGAAAUUCCCCCUAGCUAAGAGGGGUUUAGUUCCUCAUACUCACAAAACAAAGAGUAUUGAAUUUAAACAUUGAAAACAAAAGAAAGAUUACACCUAAAACGUUCCAGCAACUCCAAUUAGAAUGGCAAACACGUCCAAGGGCUCUCCUCAUUCUUCCUUGUUGUGGCAUAAGGUGUGGUUGGUGGUUUUAUGGGUGAUGGAUGGUGUAUUCUUGUGUAGGAUGAUGAAUGAUGGCUGAUGAGGGAGAAAGGUUGCGGUUGAAUGUGUAUGGAAUUGUAUGGAUCAAAUGAAUGAUGUAGAAUGGUGUUUAGGGUUGCGGCACAAGGGUUUCUGAAUGGUAAGGGGUGGUGACGAAUUUUGGCUGAAAAACUUAUAUUUAUAGGCUAAGGUUUUGUAGAAAAAGGCUUGGCUUAAUCCAAAGUGGAAAAGAACUAGGGUUUGUGGCAGAUUUUUAGGCUUCUAGAAAGAGAAUAGGAGCCACUUUUUUAGGCUUCUAGAAAGAACAUGUUUUGUGGCAGAAAUUGGGACUUCUAGAAGGGUUUGGGGCGCCACCUUUCUAGGGCUUCUAGAAAGGUGGAUGCAGCAUGUGUUUAAGGGAAGAUAUAGGCCUUCUAGAAGGGUUUUAGGUGCCCUUGCAGCUGAUUAUUCAUCUUCCAAGUCUUGAAUUGAUUUCUCCAUCUCUUUAGCACGUUCUUAGCUUCACUUGAUCUUCAAAAAUGUCCGUUCCUUGUGCUCCACAUGCAUGCAAUCCAUUCCAGCCCAUAAUUGCUCUAAAAUGCUUCAAAAUGCCCUUUUUUGCCAACUUUGACAAUUAGACCUACAAACAAACGAAAAUAGCUUAAAUCACUACAAUAAACACUAACUAACUAUGAAAAUGCAAGAAAACAAGAUAACUAAGUCGCAUAAAUAUGCUCCUAUCACUUAGUUAUUUGAAAAUGCCCAACGUUGGAGCUACCAUUUCGGUUUCUACAACAGUAAGUUGUUGUUUACAGUAACUUAAUUUCUUAAAGUGUUGACGGGAAUGUACGUAUGUAAUUGGUCAGAUUCAGACUAGGUUCACUAGUUUGUGCCGAUUUCCUCUUUCGGGAAUGUGAAUCCUUUAAACCAGGAGGCUUGCCACACUAUAGGGUAGGAGCAGGUGAUUGGCUAGCCGCCAAUGUACCUUGCCAUGUGGGAGGUGAGGCCACCCCACCCUCAAGGACGGAUUGGCCUUCCACAACGGUGUUACGGCGUACGAUCGACAUCCAUCAUUGCAAGUACGUUUGCAGCGGGUAUAUGUGAUCUCAUCACCUUCACUAGAUCAGUAAAAGCAUCCAACAUGGUUUGAGCAAUGCUCUGAAGAUCUAGAAUGCAUCUUACUUCAGUUUCAGACUGAGGCGUGCGGGGAUCUAAAUGAGACAUAGUGGGGGUAAUCCACGACAAUUCACAGUGUUCUAAAGGAAUGUUAGUGAUCUUAUCUCCCCCUAACGAUGGGAAGAUUGUCUCAUCGAAGUAACAAUCAGUAAAGCGUGGUCAAGAGAUCUCCUGUCAAGGGCUCUAAGUAACGUAUAAUGGAUGGCAAAUCAUAACCGACAUAGAUUCUCAUUUUUCUCUGAAGACCCAUUUUGGUACAUAACGGCGGCGCUAUUGGCACAUAAAUUAUGCACCCAAACACACGUAAAUGUGAGACGUCAGGCUCGUAUCUAGUAACCAAUCGUAAAGGUGAAUGAGGUUGGGUAGUGGUGGGCCUCAGGUGGACCAACAUAGAUGCAUGCAAUAUUGCGUAGCCCAGGCAGAUAUCGGCAAAUUGGUUCUCAUAACCAAAGUCCGAGCUAUCAUUUGAAGGCGCUUUAUGAAAGCUUCUGCCAAGCCGUUUUAGGUAUGAAUAUGGGGUACAAGAUGUUCAACUUCAAUCCCAAUAGAUAUGCAAUAAUCGUCAAAGGUCUGUGAUGUAAACGCUCCAGCAUUAUCCAGUCGGAUCGACUUGAUUGGAUAAUCAGGGUGGUGAGCCCUUAGCUUAAUAAUUUGUGCUAGGAGUUUCGCAAAUGCAGUGUUACGUGUGGACAAUAAGCAGACAUGUGACCAUCAUGUCGAUGCACCAACCAACACCAUAAAGUAUCUUAAUGGUCUGCACGUUGGUUGGACAGGUCCACAAAUAUCCCCUUGAAUCCUUUGAAGAAAUUUAGGGGGUCGUAAAUAAUCUUUGUAAAUGUGGGUUGAAUGUUCAACUUCCUCAUAGAACAUGCUUUGAAAAACGGAUGGUCGAGAUAAGGUUUCAAGUGAUGCCCAUGAGAUGUUUUGAGGAUACGGCGCAUCAUAUCUCAUCUGGGGUAUCCCAUUCGUUCAUGCCAAAGCAGGAGAGAGUCCUAGAACCCAGGACUAGGGCCGGCCACAUGGUGUGUCUCUACAGCUCGAAUGGUUGUUAUGUACAACCCACUCGGGGAGACGUUCCAGCUUCUCAUGAAUAUGCUUUCGGCCAUAUUCGUAAGAAGUGAUACAAAGAAAUUCAGAACCAUUCUCUUCGGUGGUUUCAACAUGAUAUUGGUUAUCUCGAAUAUCUCUAAAACUCAGCAGCAUUCUUCUGGAACGUGGAGAAUAAAGUGCCUCUUUAAUGAUUAAUUCAGUACCAUUAAACAACAUUAUACGGGCCUUUCUGUAUCCUUUUAUCAAGUUGGAUGGGUCUGAGAGGGUUGUCAGAGGUGCAUUCUUAGGUACGAAGUUAGUGAAAUAGUGUUUCUCACGCAAUAUGGUGUGCGCGGUUGCACUAUCAGCCAGACAACUAACUUCCCUGCUAGUUUUACCUAGAAAUAAAUUAAUUGAAUCGGUCACAUGAAUAAAUAUAAUUCCAUUCAUUCAAUUAAUCAAUUUGAGAAAUAAUAUCCAUAAAAUAAUAUCCAAAGUUCAAAACAAACCAAAACCAAACAAAUAAUUCCAAAUACUUAGAAAAAAAUUUCGAAAAUUAAACCAUAAACCUUAAAAAAUAGAGAGGGAGGUUCGUGAAGGAAUUAUUUUGAAAAACAUGUUCAUUUGAGCAACAUCAUAUAGCAUGCAAUUAACAAUUAAAAGGCGGAAUCAUGCUUGUAUGUACUCAAAAACAAAACAUGACCAUGAAAUUCAAAGCCUAGUAGAUUGGUGAACCAAUAAUCAACUCAAAAAUAAGUGAGUUGAAAUUAAUACCUUUGUAGAUUCCUCUUUGCAUAAGCAAAGGCUAAUCACCCAAAGAGAUAGGGCCUUCAUUCCUUGCUUCUUAGAUCCAUGGAUUUGGAUGGAAGAAUAGGUUCUCCAAGUUCCCAAAAUUGAGAACCUCUAAGUCUCUACACCAAGGAGAGAUUGGAUGAUGAAUGAGUGACCUUGGAGGAUUAGAUGACUAGCUAAUCACCUCCAAGGUGUUGGCCUCUUUAGAGAGAAAAUGGAGAGACAAUUCUCACCCAUUUUCCCCAAAAAUAAACCCUUAUUUCACUUAAUGAAUAUUUGGCUAUAAAAUCAUUUAUAUAGUCACUUCUUUAAGUGACCUAAACAACCAAAACCCUAAUUCAUUUCAUCAUGGCUGGCCAUUUAGGGAUUUUUGGGCUUUUGGGCUUUAAUGAAUCUUUAUUCAUUAAAUUGUCAUACAACUUAAGUUAAUGGGCUUGACGUUCGAAGCCCAUUGGGCCUUAAGGUCCAAAACUAUCCCGUAGUCUUUAACGAACUUAUUCGUUUGAUUAAUUAACAUAUUAAUUAAUCCUUGCCAUAAAUAAUUAAACCAUUCAAUUAAUCUUACUCAUUUCAUUUAUUUCGUCCAUCUUUACCUUACACGGUGUACGAUCCAUUAGGUUCCUUUUAGCGAGGUAGUGGGCGAUUAAAACCAUUUUACAUCGAUUGUGAAUUGAAACUAUUUUCAAUUCUCCCUUUAGUGAUUACACACGUUUAGGGCUUCCACAAACCAUGAGUGACACCUAGCCGUAUGUCAUGGUUACCCAAGCUAAUCAGAAGAGGUGGAGAACCUAUUCAGUCUGGGAUUACAAAUGCAAUACGGUCCUUCUCUAAUCUAAUACUCUUGACCACAUUGUUUGGUUUGAUAGUUUAUUUUCUCAUGUCUACUAUCCAAUGUGUGUCUUGUGCUUAUAUGAUUACCUUGAAUGUGAUUAGGAACGCAUUCCCAAAUCUCAUUCAUACUCUGGCCAGAGAUUCAAAUCAUAUCAGAGAGUAUUCUCCCUCAAACAGUUUGAAGGUUAGAGAUCCCUUGUUGCGCAUUCACUUGUCUCCAUAGCUAAGCGGCUUGACCCCAACGAUGCCGUGGACACCCUCCUGGUGGGAUGACUUUGACAUAAUCAAAGAUCAAGGUCUUAACCACAAGACAACUAUGAUGCCUCAGGUCAAAGGACUACUUUGCAUUAUCCCAACCAUGAGUUCUCAUGUGACAUGGAAUAUGAGAACUCUUCGUUGAUCGCGUUCAGUGAACUCAUUCUCUAUUGAGCACCUACCGCACUUGUCUUGAUGUCACACACACCAAUGAUUCGAGACUAAUCACUCUCCCUGAGAGAAGACAUAGUACGUACCGAUCUUGACGGACUGUCAAUGCCCAAUUGGCAAUCCUAUGAUCAGGAACGUUUAGGAUGUGUCUACGAAAGAAUGGUCUCAAGAAUCUAACUUCAUUAGAUUACAUUCUCCCAAUCACAAAUUCCUUGGACUUUAUUGUUUAAGCAUAUAACAUUUAUAUGAGACGGCUCAAACAAUAAUGUAUGCCCUUUAUAUGUAAAACUAGAUUAGUUUAACAUGUGAAAUGUCCGUAAAGUAUCAUCACAUGAUUGGCUUUAGGGCACAUUUCCAACAAUCUCCCACUUGCACUAGAGCCAAUCAGCUUGAUCAUCAAUGAUGAUAUCUCUUCUGUAGUCAUUUCAUAAAUGGCUGAAUAGUAGGCCUAGGCAGUGGAUAUCUAUAUGUGUUAUCCACAUAAGCAACCUUGAGAAUAACAACGUCACCAUUAUACAUGAUUCUCAAUCAUGUGGUUCAGUCUCUCAUUUGUGUUCGGAUCUUGAUGAGACCUUGAUUCCCAGGCUUGAGUUAUCGCCCCAUUAGUGUCAUACACUUUCUGGUUGGAACCGAAUAGAGAGUUCAUAAAUGAACUUUCCCAUCCAAACAACAUUGUUGUAAACUUCUAUAUGGCAAUAUAUCUUGCAUUCAUAAUGGAACACACUAAAGUCAUUACUUUAAUGUUUCCAUCCAAAUAUCUCUUUACUCAUAAUAAAGAGAUAUCUGUUUAUCUCUUCAUUCAUAAUGAAGAAACAUCCAAUGAUGGAUUAGAUUCAUAAUCUAAUACAUUUACGCUUCCAUUACGUUACUUUGAUUCUUCCUCGAUCUUUGAGGAAUUUAUCCUUUAGUAUUUCUUAAAUACUUAAGGACUCACUUGACAGUUGCCAUGGUUCUGAUCCUGGGCUUGCACUGAUAUCAUCUUGUACCGUUCUAGGUACAACUCAUAUCAAUGUUUUUCAUACAAUAUGAAAUACAUAAAUCACCUUUCUGCGUAUGCAUAAAGGAUUCUAUUUACGCAUUAUUUCUUUGGGAGUCAAAGGGGCACGUUCCCUUUGAGAAGGGCAACUUGCUAAUCUUACUAGAGUCAUCCUUCUAAUUGAAGUUUAUCAUCAUAUGAGAAACUUCCUAGCAUCCAUUGUCUAUUAUUAGGGAUUGAUAUAAUCCAAUUAUAUCAUGAAAUAUAUCAUUAUAGAUUUCCAUCCCAUGUAUAUAGACUAUAUCUCCCAUAUACAUUCUAUCGUUUAUAGAAUGCUUAAAGUCAUAACUUUAACGAAGAAGUAUUCUUUUCAUUUCCAAAAUUAAUAUAUCAUAUAUAUUAAAUUUUAGGAACAUGAUUAACUCCCACUAAUCUUUUGUAAAACUAGUAAACAAAAGAUUCAUUUACAUCUUUAUGAUAAAUCAAACGAUUUGAUCCUUUUCUCAUAAAAUGCAAAUAGCUCCCACUAACUUGCUAAGAUCCAUGAUGGAUGGAUCUCUACAACUUACAUGUCUUGUGAUUUAUAGUUUUAGACAUAUAUUAUCAAGACUAUCUUAAUAAUGGUUUCGGAAACCCAUAUUAUGUCCAAACAUUGAAUCACCAUUUAGUUGUAGUUAGCAAUCUUCGAAUUAAUUGAAACUAAGACUACGUCAAAAAUGGUUCCUUUAAAGUCAACCAUUCUAUUUGAUUGUAGUCACCUUAAGCUACCAAUUAGCUUUGAAGGUUUCAUUAUUUCGAGUCAAUGUAGUCAUAAGGAUUUUCAUAAGGAUUUUCAUUCUUAUUUCUUUCGAAUUAAGAGGUGCAACUCUAUGACAUAGUCAUAAAGUUCAAAACCAUUCAACUGAGACGGUUUUUAAAUCCUUAUCGACUACCUUGGAGCUUGUGGUAUAGGAACUAGGUUGUUAUAUUUGUUGAUUACUUUCUUGUCUCUCAAAGAACCCAUUCUUUGAGUUCUAUCUCUCGUUCAUUUGCUUUUAGGCAAAUCACAUUGUAGAAUUACAAUGAACUAUCCAACAAAACAACAUUUGUUAGUUGGUUUAUAGAAGCGAUAUCCAAAAGUUAUUUUAAGGAUAUCCUACAAGAUUAUUAUCAAACAAAUAUUGCUUGUUAGCACACAACCCCAAAUCUUUAACAUGCUUAAGAUUUGUCUUUCUUUUCCAACUACAUCUUAUGGAGUCAUGAAAAUAUUGGAAGAUCUUCUCAUUGACAAUCAUAUUGUUUUUAGAAGUAUAUAUCCUAUAUAUGGGUAAUAGAUAACAUCUAACGAACUAAAUCUUAUUCGAGUUCGUUCUUCUCCUAAUGGAGAAAUACAUUAUCUUAUGAUGCUAUUUUCCUUGAUAUCUUUCAAGGAAACUUAUCUAAAGUGUUAUCUUUCCUUGGAUCAAAUCUAAGGAGGUACAUACUUUAGAUGUCUUACUCAUCAACUUACAUUACUUGAAUUCUUUGAAACAUUUUGCAAAGUAUUCGGACUUGUGUUUAUUCAAAAUAAACUAUAGUCCAACCGAGAGUGAUCUUCGGUGAAUGUUAUCCAACAUGAGUAGUAUUAUGUUUGUGGACAAGUGUCACUAACAUUUAAGUGAAUUAACCUCAACAACUUUGUGAUUCUUUCUUCUUUCCAAAAGAAUAAAGAUUCGAACAUUUCGCCUCCAUACAAUUUUAACAAGAAGGUAUUGGAUCCGGAUCUAACGAUCCAAAGCGUCCAUUUAUGACCAACUCGUAAUUUAUGUUUUAGAGGUAUCACAACUUUAGUUGGGAUUAGUCACUACCUUGCAACCUUUUGGGUUUUAAGCAUCAUUAUUUUCUAAACAGUUAACACACCCAUAUUAUCUCUACUAUAGAGAUAAUUAAUUAGAUUACCAUAAUCCAAUCAUUGAUUAAUAAAGAACAUUGUUUUGUCAAACAAAACAUUUAUCCAUUUCACAUAGUGACUGAAUUUAGUUCCUUAAAAUUGGAAUACAAAGACAAUCUAUGUUUUUCCAAUUUCUUUGGUAGUUCAUAUGAGGAAGUAAGUACCAUCUGCUUUCGCAGAGAUCUACAUUUGAUUCACGUUUCGAAUGUGAAGUACUUUCUCUUCUCUCAUUUAUCUUCUACUUCUUAUUAGCCACACUUUUACAACGAUUGUAAAACAUAGUCACUAAUACAGAAUCAUGCAUUCAAGUAGAAGAACCAACUGUUUUGAACUAUUCAAGAACAAUUUACAACACCUUCGAAAGGUGUGUCCUUGACACUUGCAAGACAUUUCUUGCAAAUACCCCUUCCAAUAUCCAUCCUUUCAUAAAGAAAGUUUGUUCCCUUGGAGUUAUUUAUCUUCUUUAUUUGACUUUCACCUUUGACUACAUUAGUCAUGGUCCCUAAACUCCCACUAUCUCUCUUGAAACCUUUUUCAAUUGUGUUAUACACAUCAAACAUUUUGGAGAGUAUGUGGUUAUUGUUCACUAUAUAGUUUACAAUAAACUUAGUGAACGAUUAGGAUAGGGAAACAAAGGUGAAGUCCUUGCCUAGUUUCCGUCUCGUUUAAGUGGUUUAUCACUUCAACAUUCAAUGAUUCAAAAUCAUCAUAAGUCCAUGUUAAUGGACUAUUUUUGUCAACCAACCAUUAUGUUCUAAACAUAAUUACAAACCUUCAAGAGUUGUACAAGGCAACUCUUAUUUCUUCAUACAACAAUUUGUAAAUGAAGAAUUAUGGCACAUUUAAGUGUUCAUGCCUUUGUGCUUUCUUCUCAAGUUCUUUGUUCAUUUAACAAAGAAACAAGCACUAAGUGUUUGCAUUGACUAAGAGUUGUUCAAAGCAACUCCUAUUUCUUCAUACAACAAAUUGUAAUUGAAGAAUUAUGACAUUAAAAGUGUUGUCCUCUUUAUGAUAGACAUUUUCUAACAUAUUCUUCUAAUGAUACAUUAUCAAUAGGAAGAUUGUGAGGAUGAGACUACUUAGAUACAUAUGCAAUCCUUUUAAGACAUUCUUUGGGAUUGUGGUACCUAAGUCCGGAAACUAAAACAUUCGGUUUUGUCAAGUGUUGGAUAGCGUUUGCAAAUAUAUUGGUAAACAAAUACAUAACGAAUAUAAAUUGGUUGAUUUUAAGCCAUUUGAUUCGGGUCUUUAAAUCAAAAUAGCACCACCCACUAUUUUUGGCAAAUUCCAUAUCCCUCAUAGGAAUUCGAGAGUUUUGGAUGAAACUCCUAGUAGGUUAUGGGAGGCUCACUAUUACCAAGCCCACCUCACGAUGAUACGAUAUAUGGCUAGCAACAAUAAUAAUGAGAGAGUACGCUUACUCAUUUGCAACUCAUGCAAGUACCCAUCUUAUUUGGCCUCUAGAGAAUGUAACCUCACAAUGAUAUGAUAUUGGUUCCAUUGCACUUAGUUAAGUUCUUCCCACCAUGCUUAGUGUGUGAAGGGGUUCAAGAAUAGCCUCACGAUGAUGAUACGAUAUAUAGCUAUCCUCGUUGCCUACACUCACCUCAUCAUAUGUAUAUGGAUUCCUCCUGAGUAUAAGCAUGCACUGUGUACUCCCCCAUGAUAGGGUGAAGCCGGUGUACAAGUCAUAAACGAUUGGAUCCCACCACGGUGGAAGGCCACGAAGAGAUAUUCUAAACAUCUCUCGCUUAUCAACUUAAUAUUGGUUUGGUUGAGGGUUUUAGGUCUCAUCACAUAUAAACAUACAUUUUAAUCUCUAUUAAAACUAUUUUGGUCCUAUAACAACUAUUGGUCCAUCUCAUUGUUUUAGUUGUACAUAAUACUCCCACUAUGCUUUUAAAACGAUUUUUAAAGCAAGAGUAUAUGAUACUACUAACAUAAACUUUGCAUUCAUUUGAUGGACUACAUAGUUGCCUUAGGGCCUAAGGAUGAUUAUGAACCUUUGUUUAGAUUCAACACGAGCCUUGUGUUGAACCUCAGUCUAGGAAUGAAGAUUGAUUUUAGUUACGCGUUUAAUCACAUUAAGGCGUGUUGUCUUAUGGGCGUUGGACCCAACUACUUCAUUUUCAUGCAUAUCAUAUAAAGCAAGAAAGAAGUACUUCAAAGUAAAGGUGAGCUUAUGCUCAUUACAACAUUUGCAUAUAACAAAUUACUUUAAAGUAAAGAAGAGCUUAAGCCCUUUUACAACAUUUGAUCAAAUCAAAUUACAACCAAAAUUUAAUCUACACAUUCCCAUGGUUCAAACAAAUUUGAAACGCCUUUCACAUAGCUCAAUUAUAUUAGGCUUAGGUUCAUAAUCACCCUUUAAUUAAUUAACACUUUAACUAAUUAAUGAAUGCAACAUUUUCAUUUGGUUUUUGUAUCCAUAAGAUUGAUUUAAAUGGAGCUAAACAAAAUGAAAAUCCAAUUCUCAUUUAAAGAGACAAAACAAUUUUGUUCUCAUCCUAUUUGGGCCAUCAUGCAAUUAACCUCAACUUUUGGGCCAUAUUGCAAUAACAAAAACUUUUGGGGUCACUUUGUAUAAUACACAAAAGUCACAACUUCAUGUAAAUACAACUAGAACCCAAACUUUUAAUAAUGCAAAAAUAUCAUUAAAGGAUCAAAACAAUUUGUCCUUUAGCGUUUUUGGACCUAAACGUAAAAACGUAAACUUUUGGGCCAAAGUGCAAAUACACAAAAGUAUCAAAACUUUAUGUAAUUGCAUAAAAGCCCCAAAAGUACUCCCUUUGAGGGAGUGGCUGGUUUUAGGGAGGGAUAAGGUUGGUGUGUGUGUGUUGAUUUGUGAGUUUUGUCAAAAACAUGCAAGUGUAUGUAAGAUAAGAUAUGUUUUUUGAAAUAAUUCAAACACAAUUAUUUCAAUCAUCAUUUAUACAAAUAUUUAACACUUUAAAUACAUAAUAAAUCAUUUAAAAACAUAUCACAUAUACUUUAUGAAAUAAUUCAAAACUUUGAAUCAAAACACCAAACCUUUUUGUUCUUGACAAGAACAUCAAGAACAAUGAAGAACAUCCAUGAAAAACCCAAAUUUUUCCAUGAACUUUUUCCACCCAAAAACAUUCCAAAACCAUUCUUACUUAAGGGAAAUAACAUCUAACCAAACUAGGGUACUUAGGGGUUCCAAAGAACACAUUAAAACACUUUUAACAAGUCAAACAAGAACCCAAAAAUUCACCCUUUGAUUUUGGAAUUAUUUUGAAAAACAUGUUCAUUUGAGCAACAUCAUAUAGCAUGCAAUUAACAAUUAAAAGGCGGAAUCAUGCUUGUAUGUACUCAAAAACAAAACAUGACCAUGAAAUUCAAAGCCUAGUAGAUUGGUGAACCAAUAAUCAACUCAAAAAUAAGUGAGUUGAAAUUAAUACCUUUGUAGAUUCCUCUUUGCAUAAGCAAAGGCUAAUCACCCAAAGAGAUAGGGCCUUCAUUCCUUGCUUCUUAGAUCCAUGGAUUUGGAUGGAAGAAUAGGUUCUCCAAGUUCCCAAAAUUGAGAACCUCUAAGUCUCUACACCAAGGAGAGAUUGGAUGAUGAAUGAGUGACCUUGGAGGAUUAGAUGACUAGCUAAUCACCUCCAAGGUGUUGGCCUCUUUAGAGAGAAAAUGGAGAGACAAUUCUCACCCAUUUUCCCCAAAAAUAAACCCUUAUUUCACUUAAUGAAUAUUUGGCUAUAAAAUCAUUUAUAUAGUCACUUCUUUAAGUGACCUAAACAACCAAAACCCUAAUUCAUUUCAUCAUGGCUGGCCAUUUAGGGAUUUUUGGGCUUUUGGGCUUUAAUGAAUCUUUAUUCAUUAAAUUGUCAUACAACUUAAGUUAAUGGGCUUGACGUUCAAAGCCCAUUGGGCCUUAAGGUCCAAAACUAUCCCGAAGUCUUUAACGAACUUAUUCGUUUGAUUAAUUAACAUAUUAAUUAAUCCUUGCCAUAAAUAAUUAAACCAUUCAAUUAAUCUUACUCAUUUCAUUUAUUUCGUCCAUCUUUACCUUACACGGUGUGUACGAUCCAUUAGGUUCCUUUUAGCGAGGUAGUGGGCGAUUAAAACCAUUUUACAUCGAUUGUGAAUUGAAACUAUUUUCAAUUCUCCCUUUAGUGAUUACACACGUUUAGGGCUUCCACAAACCAUGAGUGACACCUAGCCGUAUGUCAUGGUUACCCAAGCUAAUCAGAAGAGGUGGAGAACCUAUUCAGUCUGGGAUUACAAAUGCAAUACGGUCCUUCUCUAAUCUAAUACUCUUGACCACAUUGUUUGGUUUGAUAGUUUAUUUUCUCAUGUCUACUAUCCAAUGUGUGUCUUGUGCUUAUAUGAUUACCUUGAAUGUGAUUAGGAACGCAUUCCCAAAUCUCAUUCAUACUCUGGCCAGAGAUUCAAAUCAUAUCAGAGAGUAUUCUCCCUCAAACAGUUUGAAGGUUAGAGAUCCCUUGUUGCGCAUUCACUUGUCUCCAUAGCUAAGCGGCUUGACCCCAACGAUGCCGUGGACACCCUCCUGGUGGGAUGACUUUGACAUAAUCAAAGAUCAAGGUCUUAACCACAAGACAACUAUGAUGCCUCAGGUCAAAGGACUACUUUGCAUUAUCCCAACCAUGAGUUCUCAUGUGACAUGGAAUAUGAGAACUCUUCGUUGAUCGCGUUCAGUGAACUCAUUCUCUAUUGAGCACCUACCGCACUUGUCUUGAUGUCACACACCAAUGAUUCGAGACUAAUCACUCUCCCUGAGAGAAGACAUAGUACGUACCGAUCUUGACGGACUGUCAAUGCCCAAUUGGCAAUCCCUAUGAUCAGGAACGUUUAGGAUGUGUCUACGAAAGAAUGGUCUCAAGAAUCUAACUUCAUUAGAUUACAUUCUCCCAAUCACAAAUUCCUUGGACUUUAUUGUUUAAGCAUAUAACAUUUAUAUGAGACGGCUCAAACAAUAAUGUAUGCCCUUUAUAUGUAAAACUAGAUUAGUUUAACAUGUGAAAUGUCCGUAAAGUAUCAUCACAUGAUUGGCUUUAGGGCACAUUUCCAACAGUUCGGCCACUCCUAAUGGGUUCGACCACUAGGGGUUAAAAUGCCUUAAAACAUGUCUAAAAUUUAUUAUUCCAUAGGAGCGGAUGCUUCUUGAAAAUCUGAAACCUCUAGAGUUGUAGUAGCAGCUUCCGGGAUUGCUCCAUGCACAAAGUUGGACUCACGACGUAAAUCAUACUUGGCAAUGGCCUCAGGGGUAGCUCAGCAUACACAUGACCAAUGAUCCCUUGAUCCACAGGGAUAACACAUGUCCAAUUCAGUGGAAUCCGAUCAAACGGUAGCUUUUCCCGUGUUCUUGAAAUUUGGGGCCUUCAGGGCAAAGGGUUGGCGCUUCUGGAUCAAGUUUCCUUCCUUAGAUGGGCCUCUGGUCGGUGGACCUUGGGCUCAUGGUGGAGCUUGUCGCCCCUUGCCACGGCCACGACGGGAUCUUCGUCUGUUUUGGCUAUUCGAAGUUGUUGCAUGCGCUUCAGGCGACGUUCAAGCCGGUAAGUCUAGCUUGAUGAUUUUUCAUCAAAAGCUGAUUCUUCUUUUUAGCGAGAAGUAGAACAUAUAUCAAAUCUGAAAUUUUAGUGAACUUUAUGCCUUAUAUUGUUGCUGCAGGACAAUAUUGGUGGUAUUGAAGGUUAAAUAGGUCUUCUCCAAGAGAUCAUGUUUGGCUAAGUCCUCGUUACAGAACUUAAGUAGUGAUCGGAUUCUACAAACUUCAGAGUUGUACUCAUUCACAGACUUAAAGUCUUGGAAACAUAAAUGUUGCCAGCUGUGUCUUGCUUUAGGCAAGAAGAUGUCUUUCUGGUGAUUCAAACAAUUUGCCAGAGCGAGCCAGAUAGUACAUGGAUCCUCCUUUGUGAGGUACUCGGUCUACAGUGCAUCAUGGAUGUGUCUUUGAAUGAAGAUCAUAGCAGUAGCUUUCUGAGCUUUGUCGACGGGUGCAUCGUCGGUUGGUUCCUCGAUGGUAACUCUAAGACUCUUUACAGUAAGGCAGAGCUUUAUGUCUUGAACCCACUUCAGGUAGUUUCUUCCAAAGACUUCCAGAGCGAUGAAAUCAAGCUUGUUCAAGUUCGACAUGUCCCUAAACAGAGGGUACACCAAAACGUUGUUAGUCAUAUAGACAUAUAUCGCAGAACAUUCGGGUCCUAUAGACAUGUAUUGGUUUAAUUUAUGCAUGUAAGCUACAGGUUUCAUGUGGUAAGUUUUGAAUGAAAACUUCAGGUUUCAAAGGCACUAAAUUCGAAACUACAUGUUCGAUUUAGUUAUGAACGUUUAGUUCAUAUAGGGGUUACCUGCAAUAACACAGAAUACAAUAUACAAUAAAGUGUAGUGGAUUUGUGGAUUGUUUCAGGAACCCAAGUGUGAGUUCUUCAGGACUACAAAAGAUAGUCAAUGAUUCAAAUAAACUAAAUAACUUAUUGAAUCGUUAAUGCCAAAAAGUGAGCUUCAGGCCAAUAAUUUUAGAUUAAUUGUCAGAUUAGUAGACUGCUGGUUACUUUAAUUAAUUCAAUAGAUUGAGACCAUUCGGGGUUGAUCGUAGAAGCAAAAAUAAUUAUAACAUACGGGUUAAAAUUAUUUAAAAUGCCAAAAAUUAGCAUUGGAUCGAAAAAGGAUAGCCCAAAAAAUUGAGGCUUGGGUUCGGUUGCAAAUAGGCAGCCCACAGGUUUAGAGAAUUGGGUAAGUCCAGCAACCAAGGCUGCUAGCAUUGGGCCAAAGGGGUGCACAGGGACAAGCCCAGUCGAAGCUGGCUUGUGGGUUAUCACACGGAAGACCCAGCCGAAGCUGGAGCCUGGUCUUUGGGCCGGGGGAAGAAGCCCAGCCAUCUGGGCUGGCUAUUUGCUUGUGAGCCGGGCAAGAUCAAAGCCCAGCAAGCUACGGGCUGUGCUGAAAUAGGCUUGAGUGGGCCAGGGCUUCAGGCCCCUGUCAGGGGACAAGCCCAACAUGCUUCUGGCGUGCGGGUUUGGGCUGGAUUAGUCCGGGCUUAAGGACCGUGUAGCAUACAACCCAAGCCAAAACUUGGUUGAGUCCCACAAUUUGUCGCCACACGGCUGGGCUACAGGCCAACACGGUGGUGCCGCAAUUUUCCAUUUUUCUUCUUUUUUUCUUCUUCAAAUAUAGGGUUAAAACCCUAAUUACUUCUAAAUUAAUUUUGAUUCUUUGACUCACAAUUCCACAUAGCAUAUAUGCGUAAUGCAUGAACAAUUAUAUAUAUUGACAAAAUAUAUGAACAUAUAUACGAUAUAUAUAAUUGGAAGGAAAAUAUAAAUAUAAGGGGUUCAUGCAUCAAGGUUUUUUCCAAAUAUCUUAAUUUAUUUUAGAAGAACCUGAUUGGGAGAAAACGAUUGAAAGCCCUUGAAUUUGUAGAAGAUAGCCUCCUUCUACGAUCCUUCAUCCCUUAGCUUCUGGCAAGAGCAUGAUGAUAACGUGUUGUAGGCUUAUUUAACUGAGCUAUCUAAGGAAUACAGAGAGGGGGCCGGCAGCAACAAGAGAGAAAGAGGGAGAUUUAAUUAUAAGAUGUGUGUUGUAUCACCCCCUUAUGUCUUUAUUUAUAGUGGUAGGAUGGGUAAAGUCCUUACCUUUUUAGUAUUACAUCUCUUAAUAGGUGAUCAACUCCUAAUGGUAACUACAAGAUACUCGUAGAUAUACUAGGAUUUACAUAAUCACAUUCCUAAUCUGAUACGACUGCAACAAAUAUGAAGAAAAAAAAUGGUAUUAAUAUUGCGUGGUUUCCAUGCGUUCCUCACAAAUGGGACAAAUAGAUGUAAAAAAAAUAAAUACUCUAACCUAAAAGUUAGCUUACUCAUCAGUCUAAUAUGGAAUGUAAAUUGGGGGUAGCAAUGUACUCGAUAGGUUUAAAAUUGAAGAAAUAAAAUAUUAAACACAUGUUAAUAAAGCAACACAUGUGAAUAAAGCAAAUGUUAGUCAAUGGUGUUGGGUCUUUUUUCUAACUUUCUAUUGAGGGAAACAACAUAUGUGAUUAAAGCAAGUGAUUUAAUGAUUUAUAUCUUAGGGAUUAGGCUAGUCUUACCAUAGUAUACUUUAAUUAAUAUCGUUAAUAAUACUAGUAUAGUAUGAGUGUAAUUGUGUAAUAAGACAAUCUUAAAUUCUUAAUAGAAAGCAUAGCUGACAGAUAAGAUGCAUAUAUACCUUCCACCAAAUGCAGAAAAAGAAAUAGAGAUACAAUUUAUUCAUAUCUCGAUACAAUAAAAUGGACAUGAUUCAUAUCUAUUCCAUAAAGAAUGCAAAUAUUACAGAUUUUUCGAAUAACGUAUAUUCACAAUAUGACUUGGGCCAAAAUGAAGUCCUGUCUAAUUCACAUUCGCCAUGUGGACAUGACGUGACAAAAUAAAAUGAACCUGGGCUAAAAUCAAAUAACAUGACGCCCACAAAUAAUGAAUGAUAUCGAGCCAGCCCAACUGUAAGGUUAUGGGGUUGAAUAACACAAGUCUCACACUUGGUCAUAUCCAUCCAACCUAAAACAAUGUUCCAUCACAGUUGGAGGUUGUGGGUUUGAACAAUGCAACUCUCACACUUGGUCAAUAAUUUUACAAAAUUAAGGCGUUUUUUAAGAUGCAAACUUUGCGUGCGACCUUGCAUUAGAAACGCCUAUAAAAUUGAAGUUGAACUUGAAACAAAUCCCUCCCAGUUGCAUUGCACCAUUCACAGUCAUAAAGCAGAACAGAACGCCGGCCGGCACGGCCUCCAUCGAAUCCUUCUCCUGCGGGGGUCUCUUUCAUCUCAGGUAAUUUCUACAACAAUUAAUUAAAUCUUUAAUUAAUAAUCUAAAUAAGUUUCUAUGAUGAUUAUAUAUAUAUAUAUAUAUAUAUAUAUAUAUAUAUAUAUAUAUAUAUAUAUAUAUAUAUACGCGCACAACCCCAUGUAUAAUUGAACCUUGCUUCCAAAAAUUAAUCAAAGUUUUGAUCUAAAAUCUUAAUCGGUGUCCUGUAUAUGAUUUUUUUUUCUUCUUAGAAAUCUUAAUUAAAAAGUUUUAUAAUUUGUCGUGUAAGGGAGAGCGCGAGUAGUGUUGCAGCAGCAAAAUGAAAAUGGGACAAGAUAUGUUGGUGAAAAUCCUGCUAACUCUGCCCCCCAAAACUCUGAUGCGAUUCAAAUGUGUCUCUAAAUGGUGGUUUGCUCUCAUCAACAAUCCGGGUUUCGUGUCAAAGCACCUCUCCAACUCUGCAAACAACAAUCUCACCACUCUCCACGUCUUUUUGGCACGAUUAGUAGUGCAGCGGCAACAUGAGGAGGAGGAGGAGGAGGAGAACCCCAAGUGUAACAGCACCACUAAGAAGGAGGAGACUCAAGAAUUAUUAUCAAUUCUUGGGUUUUGCAAAGAUGACGAUAAUACUGAUGACGAGCAUAGCAAUAGCUGCUCUCUUGUUGGUGUCGAGGACAUCAUUAUUCCUCAAUCUUUUAUUCAAAAGAUCGGAGUCCCGGAACAACCAUUUGGUAUCCUAGGCCACUGCAAUGGCAUUGUUUUACUAUCUAGUGACAGUAGCCUAGUUUUAUGCAAUCCCGGAAUUGGGGAAUUCAAUCGUAUUCCCGAUGAGCCAUGCCUUCCAAUGUGGCCCUUGGACCAGCCGGAUGAUCACGAUGGGCAAGAACAUAUGGAAACUGGUUUUCAUAUUGGAUUUGGCUAUGAUCCCGUGUCUAAUGAGUGCAAAGUUGUGACCUUUACUAAUUAUUUUGAAGAGGUAGAUGAAGACUGCAGGAGAUUUCUUAGUCGGCACAGAGCAGUAGUAUACACCACGGGUUGUGAUUUUUGGGAAGAGCUCAACACAGAUUCUUUAGAAACCGAAACUACUUUGUUUUGGCCUGAGUAUUUCCAGAUGCCUUUCAAGGGAAUAUGUUAUUGGCUGGGAUAUGAGCAAGAUAAGGAAUUAUUUCCAUUUGACGCAGUUGAGCAUCGAUUCCGUGCGAAUGGGAGAUUGAUCAUUUCCUUCGAUACAAGUCGUGAGGUAUUUCACGGUAUACCCUUUCCAUCUGAGCUCCAACCGUUAAACCGGUCGGAUCACCUUUAUAUGAAGCUUACUGUUUGGAAUGAAUCAGUUGCUUUUUUUGCCCUUGGUGUGAACGAUCGUCGAUAUCCUGAACCUUAUGAAAUGUGGGUGAUGGAUGAUGACUUUAAGGGUGCUUGGACAAAACACUUUACUAUUGAGGGCACAGAUGAUCAGAUACGUAGGUCUAGUCCUGUGGCGUUGUGGGGCGAUGAGUGUCUUAUGGUUGACAGUGAUGGGCACGUAGUUUUCUUUAAUCUUUGUACCAAAAAGCUUAAGCAUACUCCCAUUGAAACAGUAGAUAAUAAUAUUGUUGUUUAUGUGAAUAGCAUAGUUUCGGUCAUGGGACGCAGCCACAAGCUUAAGAGCAUAGAGAAUACUUGCUCAGAUAAAGAUGAAGAUGCGAUGGUGGUGGUAGACGGGAAGAGGGAAAGCUGCCGGAGGUUGUACUCAUAUUCGAUUUGGGCCAUUCCACCGGCUGAUGUUUCCCGUAGAAUCAAGAAGCUGAUGGAGAGCCUCCAGGCAGAGUUUGGUGGGCCGGAGAUUGAACCUCACAUCCCCAUCUUGGGAUCUAUCCAGAUGAUGAGUCGUGAGGAUGCCCUUAACAAGUUUAGAUUUGCUCCUAUGGAUGACAUUGUUGCUAAAGUUGAUCGGGUGAUUACUAAGAAUUACUAUUACCAGUGUGUUUCACUAUUGAUGGAUCGAAAGGUAUAUAUUUUGUCGAUCCCUUGUUAAUACAUAUUCAUUUUCUUGAUGUUUUGUUUUGUUUUGUUUUGUUUCCUUUUCAUCUUUCUCGUUUUGGUUUGAGCUUGAAUAGACUCACUUAUCAUUACACCUUUUCUUAGUUAUUUGAAAAUGCCCAACGUUGGAGCUACCAUUUCGGUUUCUACAACAGUAAGUUGUUGUUUAUAGUAACUUAAUUUCUUAAAGUGUUGACGGGAAUGUACGUAUGUAAUCUGCGUGUCUGAAAUAUUUGAUGCAGGUUCUAUGCCAUAUUUGAGUCUCCUCUACGGGAAGUUGACGGAAGAAGAAAGGAAAAAAGCUGGAGAAAUUGUUAAUAUUCUCGACGAGAGCAUUACAGGCUUAACCUUCCCCAUAACUCACUUUGCAUUGUAUGAAAUUGACAACGAUGACAGAUCUCUGAAAUCUUGGACCAAGAUUGCUGAAAUUGGUCGUUAGACAAGUUCUCCGGUUGCAUAUAUAUGCAUAGCACAUUAGCACUUGGCACUACAAAAAAUAUGGGCACUAGGGACUAAAUUAUUUGUGCCCUUUGAGGCCGAAGAGCACCAACAUAUGUGCUCAUAGAAAAACAACAACAGUGCAGCAACAAUAAUUCUAUGUGUGACCUUUAUGAGUGUGUCCUUUGGUCGAAGGGCACAAUAUAGUUGUUUGUGUUAUUAAGGCAAAGCACAAUAGAGCCUUAUUUGUGCCUUCAUUCUCACAGGUCUGACGACCCUUCUCAACUGAUUGGGCACGUCUGUGUAAUCGUGCCCUAUACCAAAUUUAUUUAAAAUGAAUUGAAUUUUUUUUUCACAUGACUUACAUCCGGGUUCCUGCCCACUCACAUACUAAUUGUAUCGAUCUAUAAUUAAAAAAACCUUAAACUGCAUCAGUUGAGAAGAAAAUUGAAAAAAAGAAAGAAAAAAAAAACCUUCAACUCAAAUUCACGAAUUGGGUGAGGUAUUAAGAUUAGAAACAAUAUCUGAAGAGAAAAUAGAAUGAGUUUAACUAGGUAAUAUUAAGCGAAUGAAGUUGUCUAACAUUUUACAAGAUAACAGCAUCUAAAAUCUACCAAAAUUGAGGUCCUCCUAUCUCAACCUCCACAUGAAUAUCAUCAAGUAUUAGAGCCAAUAUAUUUCUCUGGACAACCUCCACUGCCAUUUUUUCUGCUAGCAUUAUACACAUUAUUGGAAGAAGUAUGUCAACUAGGGUUAGGUUGCAUAUCCAUUGUACAAGUUGUUAACCUAGUCUUAGGGUGAUGUUUUGAUGUACCGUGUAGAAUGGCUGUUUUCUGCCAUCUUUUGCAUUGGUAUCACCAAUAGUUAGUCUCUUGUUGUCACUCCCCUUAAUUCAAGGGAUGUGUAUCUUGUUGAUUUUUAAUUUGUUUGUUAGCUUUAGGUGUAAAUCAAGGAGGGAUAUGAGGUCUUGUUCCUACUCUUCACACAUAUAUAUUGGUUAGGUCUCUUGUACUUCUCUUUAUGAUGAAUAUACAACUUACAAAAUACAAUAUGGUAUCAGAGCAAUGAUCGUAACCGGCCUAUCUCUGUAUAUUUUCUUCAGAGUUUUGUGAGCUUAUUCUUUUUCUUCAAACAUGGCUGAAGAGAGCUCAGUGAAUUUAGAAGGUGACAACUCUUAUGCUGCUCCAUCAUCACCUCGUUCAAAUGUUGAUAUCAACCCAAAUCAACGCCUUAGUUAUGUCUUACUAAAUGAGUAUAACUACCUUCCCUGGUAGAAAGUAGUUACUCUUGUUCUGGGAGGACGAUCAAAGCUUGGUUAUGUCAAUGGUGUUAUCCCAAUGCCCGAGAUUACCUCACCAAAUUAUGAUGCUUGGCUAUGCAAAGGCUAGUUGGUCAUGUCGUGGUUACUCAACUCCAUGGAUCGUAAGAUUGCAGAAAUUUUCAGCUAUGCUGAAUCCUCCAUGACUCUUUGGAAAAAUCUCAAAGUCAUGUACGAAAAUCAAAAUAAUGCGGCUCGUGUAUUUCAGUUGAAGAAGGAUAUUAUUGACUUGCAACAGGAAGGAAAGUCAUUUGUGCAACACCUUGGAAAGUUGACCACCAUGUGGAAUAAGUUGAAUGUGUAUCAGCCACACACCAUCGACGCUGUUGUGUUAACUAAGAGAGUUGAGGAAGACAAAAUAUUCCAACUUCUAGCAAGCCUAAGUCCUGAAUUUGAAGAUCUUCGAAGCCAUAUUCUCAUGAAUCCCGACCUGCCUUCUUUCUCAAGUUUGGGUGCCAUGAUUCAAAGAGAAGAAGUUCGCAGGAAGGUCAUGAACUUGGAACUAAAGGCAAAUAUACGUGAAGUUAGGGCCUAUUUUUCUAACCACAAACUUGGUGAGGAAAGAGGCUACAAAGGAAGGAAAUCUGGCUUAAAAUGUAGCCAUUAUGAUGCUAGUGGGCAUUCAAGAGACCGAUGUUGGAUUCUUUAUCCAGAGCUAAAGCCAAAGUUUCCUAGGGACAACAAGGGAUUCUCUAAGGGCUCACACAAACUUUCUUACAAGGCAAAUCAUGUUGCCACAACUUCUUCUGAUGGAGCACAGAAGUUCACCACUAAUCUGGCCGCACUGAUCAACGAAUUUACUAUGUUCCUUCACAAGAAACAAGGUCAUGGAGAUAGUGAAGGACCUACAAAUCAGUGUGACAACAACCAAAUUGCCCUAUUAGGACAGUUUGAUGGCUUCCUGGCUGAAAAUGAAGGUGUGGUACAACGAGACAUCCCAAGUAUCCUACACUCCUUCUCAAUUGCUUUCAAAGUUGGUAAUGUGCAUGAUUAUUGGAUUAAAGAUUAUGGAGCCACUGAUUAUAUGACUAACAAGUCUAUAAACUUGCAUAAUUUUGAAAAACUUUCAACUCCAUCUCAAGUGUCAAUUGCCAAUGGCAAUGAUGCUAUGGUUGUAGGAAAAGGGAAAACACAUUUGAUCUCAAGUGAUGUCAAGUCUAAGGCUCUUUAUGUUCCAUCAUUCCCCUUUCAACUUUUAUCUGUUGGCAAGAUCACAAACUUAUUAAUUUUCUUGCUAUUUUCUCUCUAAAAAAUUUUAGGAUCUAGUCACCAAGAAGACGAUUGUUGAAGGAUUUUUCUUAAAUGGUCUCUACUACAUUUCCAAGCAUAUUCAAGUUCCCAAGGUUUUUCAAGCCACUUCAAGCUUAGUUCAACAACAACAAUAACUUUGGCACUAACGACUAGCAUAUCCUUCUGAAAAAGUCUUAUCCACCUUGUUCCCAAACCUGUGCAAAAUUACAAGUCCUUGUGACGUCUGUCACUUCUCUAAGUUUACUAGAUUACCAUUUACUUCCUCUUUGUCUAGGGCUAGUAAUCCUUUUGAAAUCGUGCAUUCUGAUGUUUGGGGACCAAUUCUAGAGUCUUUUGAUGGAUACAAAUAUUUUGUAACUUUUGUGGAUGAUUUCACAAAGAUCACUUGGUUGUACCUUUUGAAAUUUAAAAGUGAAGUGAUGAAUGUUUUUCAAGAUUUUCAUAUAAUUGUGACCACACAAUUUGCUUCAAACAUUCAUGUUUUAUGAUCAAAUAAUGGCACUGAAUAUAUGUCUCAUAACAUGUCACAAUAUCUGAGCAUGCAUGGUGUAUUUCACCAAACAAGUUGUGUUGGAAUACCCCAACAAAAUGGGGUAGCCGAGAGGAAGAAUAGAGAUCUACUUGAGAAGACUAGAGGUCUUAUGUUUCACAUGAAUGUGCCAAAGAAAUUUUGGUUCCAAGCAGUCCUCAUUGCAGCAUAUCUCAUCAAUAGAUUGCCUAAUAAAGUGUUGAAUUUUAAAUCACCUUAUGAGGUCUUGAAAGACAAAAAGAUCAACUUAUCUCAUUUGAAAGUCUUUGGGUGUACAUGCUUUGUUCACAUUCAAGCACAAAAUUGUGACAAGCUAGACCCAAGGACUGCCAAAUGUGUCUUUCUAGGUUACUCAUCCACCCAAAAAGGUUACAAGUGUUACAAUCCAACAACUAGAAAAAUGGUUGUUUCAAGGGAUGCUAAAUUUGAUGAACAUGUUCCUUACUUCCCACGACCAUUGGAUUACUCUAGAUAGGGAGAGCAUUUGCUGGAUUUAUUCCCAAUUCCAUAUCCAAAUGGAGAAGAUACAACAUGCAUUCCUAGUGAUCAUGUAUCGGAUGCUGCCAAUCGUUUGUGAAAUCUCGUUUCUGGAUUUCACUGUUAUAAUCUACGUAUUUGUAUUAUUGAGAUUUUAUAUUAUUUUUCAAGAAUUUAUUUUAAUUUGUUUGAAUUUAGAUUUUUUAUUAAACUAGUUACGAAAAGAGAAGUUUGGAAAUUAUUUAUUUAAAACUCGUAGGCAUUUCGAGGUCACAAUUUAUAUCUUUGGAUAGAGCUCGAUAUCACGAACACGAAGACACAAACCGUUCGUGAAACAGAGCUAUAACGAAGAAAUUAGAGACAUUUUGGUAUUUAAAAGAAAAAAAAAGGGACUGGAUGCUGCCCGGUGGCAGCGAGAGAGAGAAGAAGAUGAGGUUGCGGGAGAGAAAAGGAGGGGAGGAGUGACCAAUGGGAGGGGGAGAAAGGAGGGAAAAUGAGAGACCCGAAAUGGGUCAUUUUUGACCCACAAACCACCAUUUUUGAUCCAGCCAUAUCUCCUUCAUCCGACUUCCGUUUUGGGUGAUCUUGGUGUCCAUGGAAAGCUCUUGACGAGUCCUACAUCUCUGUAGUGUUAGAUUUCCAUUUUUAUUUUUCCAUUUUUAUAGGUUGAACCAUAAAGUGUCGAGGGUUUUCCGGCGAGUUUUCUCAUUCUACGGUGAUUCCGACAAUGAUUACCGUCGAUCACCACCACCAAUAGACUCCCCUCAACCCCUGGAGCAAGUACCAAGCAUUGGAUGAGGCGUUGAAGUUCUUUUUGGCAUUGAAUCGAGGAACACCCAUUUCUAGGGUUUCCGGCGGGUUUGGAUGAAAUUGGGACACUUCCCGGCCGAAUGGGACUUGUCCACAGGUAUGAAAAUUUCUCCCCUAACUGAGAUCUAAUUGUUUAUAAAGUUUGGUAAUUUCCAAAAAUUGUUGAAUUUUCCGACAAGUCGGGAUAGCCGAUUGCCACAGGCGGAAGCGCGUGCGGCGAUGCUCUGGCCAGUGGGCCGACAAUAUCAUUCUAAGUUCAAUUAGAUGUCUUGAAUUUUUAUUUAAUAUUCGUAUGACGUGGUUUGAUCAUUUGAACAUAAUUUCACUAUGACACAUUACUUGAUCAAAAUAUGAAUCGAUGAUCCGACCGUUGGAUCGUCUCCAAACUUUCAUACAAAAUAGAACGUAAUAUUUGAGGAUAUUAGGAACUGACGGAUCGGGAAUCCAACUUACGGAUCUUCCCGAAUUGGAUUUCUAAGUUUGUAAAACAAAUUGUUAAUCCCCACCUAAUUCUAGCAAUUGGCAGAGAUCCGACCGUCGGAUCGCGAUGAAAUUUUAAUUUGUUGUUCUAGAAGAAUAAUGUGUGUUUUAGGAAGUUACGGAUCUGAAAUCUGAUGUGAAAAUCUAUCGGAUCAAAUUACGUAGGGUUGUGGGCCCCACCGUUGAUAGAGAGUUGACUUUUGAUCAAUAUGUCUCAAAUCGUUUAUAAAACUAAAAUUAGUAUUAAUAGAGGCAUAGUGAGACUAUGUGGGCUUAUCUCAGUGAGUGACUUUAAUAUAUGUGAUAUGGUGAUUACCUAAUUCUUUAUAUUAAUAUCCUUUGUGGAUAUGACUUGAUUUUAUAAAUGUGUUUUAUGCUAAAAUGUGAUUCUUUUAUAAUUGGCCAUCGAUCUAUUUUUAUUAAAUGUGAUUUGAUUCAUGGAUUGGUAAUAUUUGUGAAAAAGUGAUUCGAAUUGCAUAUUAAAAUAUUUGUUAAAUUGAGGGCUAGUAUGGGCUAUGACCCUGCUUGGUUAAUCCGCGAUAGGGGGUCAUUAGUGAUCCUGCUUGGUUAAUCCGUGGGGGACCAUAUUAUUUAUGGAUCGUGCUUGGUUAAUCCGCGAUAGGCGAUCCUUAUGGCCAUGUAUACUUAGGAGUGAUCAUGAUUGGUUAAUCCAUGAUGGGUGAUGGCCUAUGACCCUGCUUGGUUAAUCCACAAUAAGGGACCAUGGUCCUGCUUGGUUAAUCCGCGAUAGGGGACCAUAUUUUCUAUGGAUUGUGCUUGGUUAAUCCGCGAUAGGCGAUCCUUACAUCUUUGAUAUGGUCAUACACACACACACUUGGGGGUGAUCAUGCUUGGUUAAUCCGCAAUAGGUGAUCACAGUCUAACAGAUGCGUAGGAGUGACUCUACUUAGUUAAUCCGCGAUAGGGGGUCACUACCUACGUGGUUAUUGUAGGGGUGGUUCUGCUUGGUUAAUCCAUGAUAGGGGACCACUUCCUGGUUGGUUACUUAUGUACGCUUCGGCUGAACUGCGUCCCUCUAGCCCUAGUUUUUAAUGUACAUAUGAACAAUGGUUUUAAGAGUCUUGUGGGUUAAGUUAGAAAAAUUGUUGGAUGUCUGGGUGACUCCUACGGAGUUUUCAACGACUUGAUUAUGAUUCCAUAAAGCAUGAUUAUAUACUUGAUGUUCAUAGAUUGUGAUCGAUGGUCUGUUUUAAUUGAAUAUCACAUACUUGUAUUAUUGUCACUCACCCGAGCUUUGCAGCUUAUUCGAGUGUCUGAUUUGCCCAGUGUGCCAUCUCCUUGAUGUAGGCAUGAUUGUACAUAUGACAGGUCUGGGUAGAUUACGAGAAGCAGCUUGGUAUUUUAGUUCCAUUGAGUGGUCCGGAACCCGAGAUUGUUAGAUUUCGUUGAGUGGUCUGGAAUCUUUGCUCUUGCUCAUUUCCAUAAGGUUAGUCUAGAACCCUAGGUUCGAUUGAAUGGGAAUAGAUGUUGUGAAUGUAAAUUAGAAUUACCAUGUUUAUUACUCAUAAUCCAAGUAGGGAAUUAUAUAGAGUUCUUUAGUUAAAUUCGUGAAAUGAUAAGUUAUCGCAUUGAUUGAUUAACAUAAAUAAAUGCUAAGAUCAUGCAUUUUUUUAUUCAUGAAUUGAUUAAUUGACGGGGUUGCGGAAUGACUUUGGAUAUGGAUGUUAUUAUUAUGAUUAUUUUAGUUGAUCAAUGUGGCUUGAGAGGAAUAUUGUGCUUUGUCAUUGGUUCUUUGACAUAUUGCAUGGUAUGCAUUGUGGUAUAUUGUUGAGACAUAGCGAUUUAUGUGAUGGAUGUUCGAAUGUAGUGAAAUGACGAACUACAAAUGGCUUGAUCCCUAUUGAGGGUACAUAGGCAGUCUAACGGGAGGUUAGAUGCAGCCAUAAAGUGUACGAAAAAUUACUACGCAAUUCAAGGCUUGGGAUGUGCUUGGUACAUAUCCCGGAGGCGGGUAUGUUAGAUAUACGGUUAUUUGAUGAUGCCACGUGUCGAUCCUGGAUGUAUGUCAGGAUCGGGGCGUGACAUCGUUACUUGGUGCCACAUUAGCAGGAAACUCCUCCAUUAGAGACUCAACUUGCACCUUCCAGUGCUCUUUCCAACCAUGAUAUUAUUCAAUUGCCUGCAGCUCAAUCUCCUCCAGUUCGUCGCAAUCAUGCUCGUGAGAGGAAACUUUCAUCCAAGUUACAUGAUUAUGUGACCUGCAAUGCUAGGUACCCCUUGACUGAUGUUAUUGAUUAUAGCAAAGUCUCACUCUCUUUUGUUGCAUUCCUAAGUGCCAUUAAUGAAGCUCGCGAACCACAAAGUUUUCAAGAAGCCAAUCUUCAUAGUGAGUGGAGAAUUGCUAUGGCAAAGGGACUUCAAGCUCUUCAUGAAAAUCACACAUGGACCAUAGUAAAACUUCCAAAGAAAAAAAAGGCAGUGGGGAGCCGUUAGGUGUGCAAGACUAAGUUUCAUUUAGAUGGCAUGAUUGAAAGGCAUAAGGCUCGCUUGGUUGCUCGAGGAUUUACACAAACCUAUAAGGGUUGAUUACAAGGAAACUUUUGCUCUCGUAGCAAAAAUGAAUUUGUUAGGGUGUUGUUGUCAGUUGCAAUCAACAAUGCAUGGCCUCUCUUUCAAAUGGAUGUUAAAAAUGCUUUUAUGCAUGGUGAACUUGAAGAAGAAGUUUACAUGAAGCUUCUCCCAGGUCAUUGUCAAUCAAAUAACCCAGAAAUGGCGUGCAAAUUUUAUAAAUCCAUCUAUGGUCUCAAGCAAAGCCCACAUGCAUGGUAUGCCAAGCUUAGUCAUGUUCUCGAAAUGGUUGGUUUUUGUCGAAGCAUUGCGGAUUCUUCCUUAUUUGUUCGCUCUAGCUCAGUGGGUAAACUCAUUGUGCUAAUUUAUAUUGACGAUCUAAUUGUGACAGGUGAUAAUAUGUCAGAGAUCAAUGCUCUUAAACAGUAUCUCAACAAGUUUCAAUCAAAGAACUUGGCACUCUUAAAUACUUUCUAGGAAUCAAGAUGGCACACUCUCACAAAGGCUUCUUCCUCAACCAACGCAAGUAUGUUAUUGAUCUUUUUCAUGAAGCAAAUAUGUUAGAUUGCAAGCCUGCUCGCACACCCUUGGAUAGCAACUUGAAGCUGAAAACUCAUGGUGAUCCUAUUCCAAAUUUAAGCUACUAUCAAAUAAUGGUUAGCAAACUCAUUUAUCUAACUAUCACACGUCAUGAUAUAUCAUAUGCCGUAAGUUUUGUUAACCAAUUUAUGCACUCUCCAACAAUUGAUCAUUUGAAGAUUGUUCAUUGUGUGCUUCGUUACCUCAAGGGUUCCGUUGGUAGAGGAAUUAUUAUGCGCAACAAUGGUCACACUCACAUCUCAAGCUAUACUGAUGCUUAUUGGGCGGGAAAUUCUCUCGAUCGUAAGUCUACCAUUGGCUUCUAUACAUUUGUGGGAGGCAACUUAGUUAACUGGAAAAGCAAGGAACAAAGUGUUGUUGCUUGCUCUAGCUCAGAGGCAGAGUAUCGUGCUAUGGCAUCGAUCGUUUGUGAACUUAUUUUGCAUCGAAUCUUGUAUUCCAUGAACGAACCAAACACAUCGAGGUUGAUUGUCACUGCAUUCGAAAUCAAGUUCAUUCCUAGGUGAUCGAUACUCACUACACAUGCAGUCAUUAUCAACUAGCGGAUAUUUUCACAAAAGGAUUGACAUUCGCUGUUUUUCAGUGCUUUUUGUUCAAGCUUGGAUUAGUUAACCCCUUUGAUCCAGCUUGAGAGAGAGUAUUGGAAGAAGUAUGUCAACUAGGGUUAGGUUGUAUAUCCACUGUACAAGUUGUUAACCUAGUCUUAGGGUGAUGUUUUGAUGUACCGUGUAGAGUGGCUGUUUUAUGCCAUCUUGUGCAUUGGUAUCACCAAUUGUUAGUCUCUUGUUGUCAUUCCCCUUAAUUCAAGGGAUGUGUAUCUUGUUGAUUUUUACUUUGUUUGUUAGCUUUAGGUGUAAAUCAAUGAGGGAUAGAAGGUCUUGUUCCUACUCUUCACACAUAUAUAUUGGUUAGGUCUCUUGUACUUCUCUUUAUGAUGAAUAUACAACUUACAAAAUACAAUACACAUAAUACGAGAGAGAGAGAGAGAGAGAGAUUCGGUGACAAAUGAUGAGAGAAGUGAUGGUGGGUAUAUAAGAGAGAGUGGAGUGGUAAGUGAUUACCCGAACAUUACUAUAAACCAACAGUGCAUGAUGACCAAGUAAAAUAUAAUAACUACCAAGACCAUAACGCCGGUCAUCACCACAUGCAAUAUGUGUGACACAUUCGGAGAAACCGAAAACGAUAUUCAAAUGCGAAAAUUGUGUAAGCGGAUGAAACUGUGACAAACAAGAAGAAAAAUAUGACUUGCACUAACUUGGACUCCAUUUCUAAUUCUACCUGAUGUUUUGAAGACAAAGUUGCAUGUAUUUAUAGUACCUACUAGCAAAAAUGCCCGCGCUCUGCUGCGGGUCUUGAAACCGUUGAAGAUGAUACUAUUGUUUAUUAGCUUUUUUCUCUUUGAAAUUUGGACCGGACACUUGAAUUUCAAAUGGGUUUUUUCUAUUUAUGUUUUGUACUGUGUUUCUUUGUUUGAUUAUACUUUGGGUUAUUGAUUUAGCUUUAUCCAACCUCUAGAGUCUAGAUGGUAGUGAUGAUUCGUUACUCGGAAGCUCUCAUUCCACAUAUCUCCGCCAUAUUUAUAAAAUCAACAACAACAAAAAACAGAAAAGAAAAGAAAAUACUCCAAACAAAAAAUGCGAGACUUCUACGAUCCAAAAGGGCGGAUUUCUAAGUGAAAUGGUGGAAAACAAACACUAAUUUUUGAUGUGAAAAAUAAGUUAACACACAAAAUUAAACCCUCUUUUUAUCAAAUGUAGUAAAGUAUGUAAGUAGGGAUCGUUCUAGGCCGGGGAUUAGGAGGGAUUGCUAAACACUUGAAAACUGACUUAAAAACAUAAAAACAAAAUUUAAAACACUAAACUAGACUCAAAGAAUGCAAAACUAUACUUUAAAAUACUUAAACAAACAUAAAACUCAAAACAGCAACCUAAUGACUCAAAACUGCCUAAAAACCACUUUCUGGGCAGUUUUGAGAACCUAACAAGAACUUGGACGAAGUUGGAUGAAAACUUGAAUCAAAACACUUAGAAACACAAAUCAAAAUACUUUCUAACUAAUCUAAGACUUCAAAAUAAAGGGGGAUUUGUUUUGGACGAAAAUUGAAAACAAAACAGAAACUUUAAAACAAAACAGAUUGUAAAACGUUUUUGGAUGAAAAGGAUGGAUAAAAGGCUAGUUAGGAGGUUCUUCUCCACACAUGACACACUUGCAAACAAAAUGAUUUUCAGUUGUUCUUUCAAUAAAUUAUGAAACUCAACACCCCAAGUUAAUUAGAUACGCUUAAAUUAACCUUCAAGUUCUCCUUCAGUUAAUGAAUUGGAUGGAAAAGCGCAUACAACAAUUCAAAGCAUUCCUCAAAGGUUCCUUACGUGAUGAGCACAAUAAAGAUACAAUCAAGAAUCAUGAAGCACAAUGAGAACUAUAAGUGUUGACGAGGCAUUCGUUACUAUGAUGAGCAUGAAACUAGUGCCAAGAAUUCAUUCAACGCGAUCGUUUUCAAAGCGACCUUCACUACUUGUGAUUAUAAGAUUGUAACUAUUAGGUGAAACUCCCUCAUAAUCUAGCAUCAUAUUCAUGCAUGAAAACUAAGCGUGCACUCUCAAUCAACAUACACAAAUAAGUUAUCAAUCAAGUAGAUGAACGAAUUGAAUCCGCAACUUAUGAAAUAACAACUGAAUGUAAUCAAAUCAUAUUGCAAAACAUGUACAUGGUUUCGAAUCACCCCCCAACUAAGGGGGUUUAGUUCCUCAUUCUUGCAAUACAAAGAUACAUAAAAUUAGACAUUAAAAUCAAAGGAAAUAAAACACCUAAAAUGCUCCAACUUGGAAAGCAAGUGCAUCAAUGGAUCUCCCUUCCUCCUUGUUGCGACAUGAAGCUUGUGGACAGAUUUUUGGGUGGAUUUAUGGUGUAGAAUGGAUGGGGAAUGAUAUGGAGGGGUUUAGGGUGAGUGUGGAAGAGUGUUUGAUGGUUGGAAGGUGGUGGAGAACUAGGCAAAGAGGGUGGAAGAAGGUGGAGUGGCUGUUAUGUUUUCUAGGCACUAGAAUGGUGUUUUUUUGGGGUGUUUUGCUUCCUAGGGUGUGUAUGGACGAAUUUCUGUGAUAAAAUGAUGAAUAUGGGGGAUUGUUCUUUGGCCAAGGGGUGUAAACAUGUAUUUAUAGGCCCCAAAAACCUUAGAAAAUCAGGUUAGGUUAAGGAUGAAAUGCAUGGCAAUUUGUGUGUGUGGUGUGCAAUGGUCCAAGGGUGAAAAUGAAGUGAUGAUACAAAGUGUGAAGGGUAAAAUGGAGUGGUCUUGAAGCUAGGGAGCAUGAAUGAUUGUGUACAUUGCAUAGAGAUGGAAAGGGAGGUGAAAAUGUGUCAAUAAAUGGGUCAAAGGUGCAGCAACAUGUGGUACACAAGGCAUGGGAUUCCAAAUGUGAAUGAUGGAGCAUCAAUUGGUGCAUGUAAUGGAUGUAAAUGUUGUCUAAAAUCUAAUGAGUGAAGGGAACAAGAGGUAUCAAGCAAUUGAGUGUAAUAAUUAAAUGAAUUGAAGCAUGAAAUUAGAAAUUAUGUAGGGGACAAGAGUGAUCAAGCAUGGCAUGGAAUCCAAAGGGAAUUCUAUGUGGUUUGCAUGGCAAGGAAUGCAAGUUGGGGUGACAGAUUUUUGGGCUGUUUUCUUCAUCUUUUGGACCAUAAUUCUUCAUAUUCUUGGCCUCUUUAGUUCUCAAAUUCGUCCAUCCACUUGGCCCAUGCAUUUGCUAUCCAUUCCAAGCCCGAAACAUGCUCCAAAGGCCUCCAAAAUGUAUCUUCUUGCAUACUUUGUACUUAGAGUCUUUCACUUUGCAUGUGGGCUUCUUUGCAUGUGUAUGAGUUGUCAUUGUUUAUCCUUGCAAUUACACACACACACUUGCACACACAUAUGCCCAAAACGUCCAUCCUCAUGCAUGCAAUCCAUUUGAGCCCAAUAUUGAUCCAACAUGCACCAAAAUGCACUUUUCUUGCCAAUGUUGUUAUUAAGACCUACAAACAAAUGAAAAUGGCUUUAAACACUAAAAUAACUAAAGAAACACAACGUAAACGCACAAGAACAAGCCAAUUAAGUCGAAUAAAUAUGCUCCUAUCAAAUUCCCCCACACUUAGCUUUUGCUAGUCCUCGAGCAAAACAAAGAAAUAAAACGAAACAAAACAAAUAAAACACAACCUAAACCUUCCAACAUUUGCCUCAGGGAUUUCCAAUGCACAUGACAUGUUAAAAAUCAUUAUCCCCACAGAUUUGAGUCAUCUUUACUUAAGCACAUACUUAAUCAUAGUCACCACUUACUAGUUCACAAUUAAUCAAUUAAAACAAUGUUUUUGAUGUAGUAACAUGCCUUUGAGAAUUCGCUCAAUUCCUUACAAGAUAUGCACUCAAUUUUCACUCAGAUUUUCCAACUACACACCCUAUACUAGUUAUAUGUGAGAAGAUUGAUGUAGAUAUGAAAAUGAAUGCUCACAUAUAUGUAUCACAAAGAAAGCAAUUUAUGAAGUUAAUACGCAUGUUUAGAUAUGAUCUCAUGAAUGGAAUGCUAUUACUUAGACGCGAGAACCAGUGACACCAUAUGCUCAUACCAAAUUCAAACUCCACAAAUUGAAACACAUAACACUCAAGAUUGAAGUCAAAGGUUGUAACGGGCUUGGGGUGUUGGCUAACAAAUGAAGGAUAGGGAUAACAAACGUUCUUAAAGCAAUAGCAAGAAAAGUAAUGAAAUGGAAACUUAGAAUUCACUUAGAUUGCAGUAAUCAACUUUUAACACGAAGGGAAGAUUCAAGCAAUAUUUAGGGCCGAAUUCAAUGUUUUGGACCCUUUCUUCAACAAGCAACACUUUAAAACUCUUUUUCACAUAUUUUUCAACUCCUUUUCACAGCUCUUCUUCUUUUCAUUCUAUUUUUCAUGAAUCUUUCUUUUCUACUCAUGCCUUAUGAAUGAUUUUGGCAUACACACACACAAGAAUCACUUCCCCCACACUUGUUUUCUGCCAUACAUUAAUCAAAAGGAAUUCAAUUUGACUCAUACUUUACUAUGCUUCAAGAACAAGGGUAUGGAUGGUCCUAAACUAGGCUAGGUAAGGAUAAUGUGGUUUAACAAAGAAUGUAGGCUAUCAAGGCUCAGUGGGGUUAACUUAAACAUAUAACGAUAUGGGAUACAUGGCAGUUUGGCUUUGGUGGUGGUAACUACACAACUUCAUCUUGAAUAUGUGUUAUGCAAAUCAAUAGCAUGCUUUGAAUGAAAUAGGCAUGAGUUCUAGCAUUUGGAACUAAAUGAUGAAACGCCUUCUAAGUAAUAACCAAGCAAAGAAUAAUGAGAUCAUGCAACGACUUUAGAAAACAAGAAUGCACAGAUUUUAACUCUCCAAAUAAACGUUUAAGCUCAAGUCUCACAAGGUUGUAGCGUUAGUUUGAGUUCUUUCCUUCAAGCAUGUUACAAAAAAAACUAAUUUUUUUUUCUUUUAUGAUUACAUGUGAUUUCAUAAGUUAUAACCACAACCACGCAUAAAUAAAGAGUAAAUCAAACUUUCAUCCAUGUUUAUAACUCUCUUUAACAGUCAUGCAAUUACAAACCGAAUCCUCAUCAUUGUGUUGGAAGGUACCCUAAGACACAAAUAAGCACACAAAAACAACUCUUUUUGGGAUUUUCAAAAACAAUUUUUCAAAUUUUUAUGAAUUUUCGGAUUUUUAUAUCAAAACACACUGAAACACUCCAAAACAGCUUAAAAAUACUUAAAACAACAAGGAACAACACUAGAAGUAAUGGGUGAUAAUUUUCUACGAAUUUUAUGCAAAACACUAGUUACCCCCCCCACACUUAAAUCAAACAUUAUCCUCAAUGUUUCAAGUAUAUACUCACACAAAAAACAAGCAAAUAAACAAACGACAAAUAAACAUGACAAAUAUGGCAAAGUAAAAACCAGACAGAGUAGAGUUUAAGAACGCAAAUCUGGUUUUGGAGAUAGUUGAUCUUGUUGACUUUCCACAGCUUUGAUCUUGAACUGGAUUGGAAUUGUACGGCGAAGCUUUUCUCUUUGGCGAUGGUGCAAUUCCUUAUUUGUUCUCCAAGCAGAUGUGGCAGCUUCUCUAGUUCUUCAUCUCAGACUCCUUCCGCUGGGAUGAUUGUGCAAGCUGCAUUCUUCUCUGCUUGUUUCUUCUGCACGACGGGCAGGCACGAGGGAGAGGUGUUGGUCUGUUUCUUUCUUCAAUCUUUCCAAGUGCCCACCUCUUGCUUUCUUUCUCCUUGUCCCUAGUUGAGGAUGAAUCAGCACGUUGUCUCCACAUGCUUCGAGGUAUCAUCUUCACUUCCCUUAUACGUGAGAGACGAAGCGGAAGCACAAGAUGAUGAGUACUCGAGAGCAGGUGCUGGCUGGAGAAAGGACAGGGAGAAAGCAUGAUAUGAGAUACUCGUGCUCUCAACCUUUAUGAUAUGAAAUACUUGGGCUCUGGAUGGGUUGUUUGCAGGGGUAUCCCAGGGGAUGAAAAAUACAGAGUGACUCGAUAGGGUUUGUUGGAAAGCCAUUUCAGAGAGGAUGAAGGGUUAAGUGAGGCUGAAAGUUGGGUGAGACUGCUUCACUUUGAAGUUCAACAUUUAUAGAAUUUUCUUAAUGGCUGGGAAGGCAUUGUUCCAUUACUCGUGUCGGCAAGCUUGGGAUAAUUUAACAGUAGUUUCCACGUGCAUUCCGCUUCUCCAAAAAAAUUUCGACAGAUUGCGCGUGAUUUACGCAACGCAGAUGUGCAAAUUGACAGAUGCUGACACGUCUCGAUAAAGCAGAGGUCUCUUUAAUAUCCGGAAUUUACGCUUCGAGUUCUGAGCUUCGUUGAGGGCAGAGAUUGCAUGUGACAAGUGCUGACGAGGCUGAGAGAGACAGAUGGUUGGAAUCGGUGCUUCGACAGACUGCCCGUGAUUUUCGCAAACCUGAGUUGCGUGUGAUGGGUGCUGACGAGGGUGAGACAGUUGACACUCUUCGGUAUCUGGAAUUGGUGGUUUGUGAGCAAGCCCAACUUUUGAGAAAGCUGGCGCCUCUUCGAUCUCCGAAUGGCUUCUUCGAUUUCUGAGCUCACCUCUUCGAUCUCUGAAAUCCCAUCGCGUGCUGAUUUUUAUAGAGGUAUGCAGGACGUUCAAAGCACUCUUGAAUUUCUGCCUGUAAAAACUCCCGUUUUGCACUUCUACGAUCUUGACUUGUCCGAUCUCCUCUUUCUUUAACACCUCUGAAAAAAUGUCUGGCCCUUCCGACCGUCGUUUUGACUUGAACCUUAGUGAAGGAGCAGCCCCUCAUUCUCCAGACAACAUAUGGCACUCGUCCCUCAUAUCCCCUACUGGUCCUCUUACCGUUGGGGAUUCGGUGAUGAAAAAUGACAUGACCGCUGCGGUGGUGGCCCGGAACCUUGUCACCCUCAGAGAUAACAGACUGCUCGCUAGACGGUCUGAUGAAUUGGCAGUUAAGGAGUCUCUGGCUCUUAGCGUGCAGUGUGCGGGUUCUGUGUCCAACAUGGCCCAACGCCUAUUUGCUCGAACCCGUCACGUUGAAUCGUUGGCGGCUGAAAUACAGAGUCUCAAAGGAGAUUAGAGGACUCAAGCAUGAAAAUAAACAAUUGCACAAGCUUGCACACAAUUAUGCCACAAACAUGAAGAGGAAAAUUAACCAGCUGCAGGAAACUGAUGGUCAGAUUUUACUUGAUCACCGGAGGUUUGUGGGUUUGUUCCAACCGCAUCUGCCUUCGUCUUCUAGGGCGGCACCGCGUAGUGAAGCUCCAACUGAUCAACCUCCGAUACCUCCUCCUUCCGUGGCCCCACCGACUGCUGAGACUCCGCCGACUACUGCAACUCCGCCGACUACUACGACCUCUCCCAAGCAGCCUUUGUGAAGGCUCCCUCUUGUAUUAUGCUAUGUUUCUUUAUUUCCCAGUUUGCUGUUCAUUUCCACGAAGUUUAAUGUUAAAAUCCUUUGCAUAUUUGUUAAUGUUUCAAAAUAGAAAGUCACAACCAAAAAUAAUUAAACAAGUAAUAAAAUUGACAAUCAGGCAAAAUAAAAAUGCAAAAAAAAAAGGAAGGUUUUUAGAAACGCAAAACUGCUUGCGGGCGAUUCAAAAAAAAAAAAAAAAAAAAAAAAAAUCUUCCUCAUUUGAAUACAUGGGUUGCCUCCCAAGAAGCGCUUGCUUUAACGUCUUGCAGCCGGACGAUGCUUCCAUUCAAACUUCCCUAGGUCCCACGACAUGGAAUUGAUCCUUGAAUGGAAGGUGAUACUUGAAGUGAUCCGGCAAUGGUGUAGAUUCGAGAGUGGGUGCCUGAAUCAUUAACAAAAUGUAAGUAUAAAACGUAAUGGAAAUUGGAGUAGAUGACUUACUUUUUCGCUCCGUUACGAACUCAAGGAUGAACACCACUUCUUUGAAAGUUUCAGGGACUUUGAAUUUGGCCAGAUUUACUAUGAUGGGUGUGAUUUGUCUCGUGUCAUCAAUCUCAACUUCUUUGGGCUUUGUUGUUUCAAAUAUGUCUUCCUUGCUGAAUUCUUGACAUUCUCUAGCCACUUCUUUUUCUUGACUCCUUCUUCUUGGUGAACAAGGUUCUUUGAACACUUCAACAUAAUCUGGUACUUGAUUUGGUGUGCCAAGAAUUGGGAUAUCACUUUGCAUCUUUGGAAUGGCUUCCAGAAUGUCUUUUGCACUCUCUUCCUCCUUGGAAAUCAUGAACAUGCGAGAAAAAGAGACAUUUGGUGGAAUAGGGUUAGAAAGAAGUGAAUGUGGAAUAACAUUACCUGAAUUAGAUGGUGGUGGAGCUUUUAGGAGGCUGCGGCAAGGGUUGUUCUUCCUCCUCUUCUUCAAGCAUCAACUCCUCAUUCACUUCUAGGCUAUGUUUUAGACAUAUUGAGUUCAACUCUAACCUCUAUACCACUUCCCAAAGUGAUAGCUUCAGCGAUUUCAAAAUCUCCCCUUGGAUUGACAAUGGUUGAGUUGGAGAGUUCACUUUGUUCUUGAAUUUGUCCCAUGAAUUCCGCGAUCUCUCCCAUUUGAUUAUUCAAUUCACCCAACUUCUUGUCUUGAUUUUGUAGGUCCUGCGUCAAAGAGCUUAGUAAUUGAAGAAUGUGAUCACUAUCCAAAGACAUACCUGAAUUCGAUUGGAAUUGUUGUGGGGGAGGCUGUGGUGGAUGCAUCGGUGUUGUAUAGAACUCCUCAUAUGGCUGCCAAUAUUCUCCUUGUUGAGCCCUCUUGGCUUGAUUUUGUGAUCCCUGCGCCAAAGAAUUUAUUUCAUCAAAAAUUUUAUCAUAAUCUAUUGACGAACCUGAGUUUGGUUGGGUAUAUUGUAUAUGAGUUUGUUGUGGCUGCGCAGGGCUUGAAUAGAACUCAUUAUAUGGUUGCCAAUAUCCUUCGAGUUGAACUGGUUGAGGUUCCCACCACAUAGUGUUUGAAUGAUCACUCCAAUCUGAAUUAUACGUGUUGGAAAACAAGUUGUUCAUUGAUUGAUUAUGAUCAUGAUAACUCUCCCAAUUUCUUUGUGGAUGUUGAUCAGCUUGAUAUCCUUGCGUAUAGGACACAUCGAAUGUAGGGGUGCUUUGAAUUGUGGUCCUUUCGAUGUACUGUGACAAUUGAGAAGUAAGAUUUGUCAUUUGAGCUUGAAGAUUAGCAAUUGCCAUGUCUUACUUCUUUUAGUACCUGAUAUCAAAGAAAUAAAACUAAAUCAAAUAUCAAAAGUAACACAAAACAAAGAAAACAAAACUAAGUCAGAAACUAAAACAAAAACAACUAAACAAAAAGAAAAGACCCAAGGGUUUAGCAAAGUUGCUAAUCCCCGGCAACGGCGCCAAAAUUUGAUGUGAAAAAUAAGUUAACACACAAAAUUAAACCCUCUUUUUAUCAAAUGUAGUAAAGUAUGUAAGUAGGGAUCGUUCUAGGCCGGGGAUUAGGAGGGAUUGCUAAACACUUGAAAACUGACUUAAAAACAUAAAAACAAAAUUUAAAACACUAAACUAGACUCAAAGAAUGCAAAACUAUACUUUAAAAUACUUAAACAAACAUAAAACUCAAAACAGCAACCUAAUGACUCAAAACUGCCUAAAAACCACUUUCUGGGCAGUUUUGAGAACCUAACAAGAACUUGGACGAAGUUGGAUGAAAACUUGAAUCAAAACACUUAGAAACACAAAUCAAAAGACUUUCUAACUAAUCUAAGACUUCAAAAUAAAGGGGGAUUUGUUUUGGACGAAAAUUGAAAACAAAAAACAGACUUUAAAACAAAACAGAUUGUAAAACGUUUUGGGAUGAAAAGGAUGGAUAAAAGGCUAGUUAGGAGGUUCUUCUCCACACAUGACACACUUGCAAACAAAAUGAUUUUCAAUUGUUCUUUCAAUAAAUUAUGAAACUCAACACCCCAAGUUAAUUAGAUACGCUUAAAUUAACCUUCAAGUUCUCCUUAAGUUAAUGAAUUGGAUGGAAAAGCGCAUACAACAAUUCAAAGCAUUCCUCAAAGGUUCCUUACAUGAUGAGCACAAUAAAGAUACAAUCAAGAAUCAUGAAGCACAAUGAGAACUAUAAGUGUUGACGAGGCAUUCGUUACUAUGAUGAGCAUGAAACUAGUGCCAAGAAUUCAUUCAACGCGAUCGUUUUCAAACGACCUUCACUACUUGUGAUUAUAAGAUUGUAACUAUUAGGUGAAACUCCCUCAUAAUCUAGCAUCAUAUUCAUGCAUGAAAACUAAGCGUGCACUCUCAAUCAACAUACACAAAUAAGUUAUCAAUCAAGUAGAUGAACGAAUUGAAUCCGCAACUUAUGAAAUAACAACUGAAUGUAAUCAAAUCAUAUUGCAAGCAUGUACAUGGUUUCGAAUCACCCCCCAACUAAGGGGGUUUAGUUCCUCAUUCUUGCAAUACAAAGAUACAUAAAAUUAGACAUUAAAAUCAAAGGAAAUAAAACACCUAAAAUGCUCCAACUUGGAAAGCAAGUGCAUCAAUGGAUCUCCCUUCCUCCUUGUUGCGACAUGAAGCUUGUGGACAGAUUUUUGGGUGGAUUUAUGGUGUAGAAUGGAUGGGGAAUGAUAUGGAGGGGUUUAGGGUGAGUGUGGAAGAGUGUUUGAUGGUUGGAAGGUGGUGGAGAACUAGGCAAAGAGGGUGGAAGAAGGUGGAGUGGCUGUUAUGUUUUCUAGGCACUAGAAUGGUGUUUUUUUGGGUGUUUUGCUUCCUAGGGUGUGUAUGGACGAAUUUCUGUGAUAAAAAAAAUGAUGAAUAUGGGGGAUUGUUCUUUGGCCAAGGGGUGUAAACAUGUAUUUAUAGGCCCCAAAAACCUUAGAAAAUCAGGUUAGGUUAAGGAUGAAAUGCAUGGCAAUUUGUGUGUGUGGUGUGCAAUGGUCCAAGGGUGAAAAUGAAGUGAUGAUACAAAGUGUGAAGGGUAAAAUGGAGUGGUCUUGAAGCUAGGGAGCAUGAAUGAUUGUGUACAUUGCAUAGAGAUGGAAAGGGAGGUGAAAAUGUGUCAAUAAAUGGGUCAAAGGUGCAGCAACAUGUGGUACACAAGGCAUGGGAUUCCAAAUGUGAAUGAUGGAGCAUCAAUUGGUGCAUGUAAUGGAUGUAAAUGUUGUCUAAAAUCUAAUGAGUGAAGAGAACAAGAGGUAUCAAGCAAUUGAGUGUAAUAAUUAAAUGAAUUGAAGCAUGAAAUUAGAAAUUAUGUAGGGGACAAGAGUGAUCAAGCAUGGCAUGGAAUCCAAAGGGAAUUCUAUGUGGUUUGCAUGGCAAGGAAUGCAAGUUGGGGUGACAGAUUUUUGGGCUGUUUUCUUCAUCUUUUGGACCAUAAUUCUUCAUAUUCUUGGCCUCUUUAGUUCUCAAAUUCGUCCAUCCACUUGGCCCAUGCAUUUGCUAUCCAUUCCAAGCCCGAAACAUGCUCCAAAGGCCUCCAAAAUGCAUCUUCUUGCAUACUUUGUACUUAGAGUCUUUCACUUUGCAUGUGGGCUUCUUUGCAUGUGUAUGAGUUGUCAUUGUUUAUCCUUGCAAUUACACACACACACUUGCACACACAUAUGCCCAAAACGUCCAUCCUCAUGCAUGCAAUCCAUUUGAGCCCAAUAUUGAUCCAACAUGCACCAAAAUGCACUUUUCUUGCCAAGGUUGUUAUUAAGACCUACAAACAAAUGAAAAUGGCUUUAAACACUAAAAUAACUAAAGAAACACAACGUAAACGCACAAGAACAAGCCAAUUAAGUCGAAUAAAUAUGCUCCUAUCAAUUUUCAAAGCCUUAACUAAUACAAAUUCGAAACACUUCAUUUUACUUGUUUUCAUUAUUCAAUUUAUAUCCUAAGAAUAAUUUCUAGUAGUUCAAAUAUUAAACAUUCCGCAACCAAAAGCAUUGACACCUCAAAAGUUAUGGAAACUUUGAUUUCACUAACAAACACAACAAACCCAGAACACCAAAUUCAGUAUCCAUGCUACUCUCAUACUUUAUGAGCAUCCAAACAGAACCCAGAAUACCAAAUUCAAAACCCCUAAAAUCAGAAAAAUGGCCCCAAAAAAGCCCUUAAUACACAUACCUAUUUGCUUUAUUUUAUUUUUAAAUCUAGAGUAAGAUAAAUUGCUUACCUACUGGUGGUGCGGCGUGAUAAAUUUACCACUCGAUCAUAAUAAGGGAAAACAAUUAAACCGUAAAAUUAAAAACAAUUAAACCCAGCAAAUUUUCUGUAAUUAAAAAAACACAGAAAACAGUUGGCAACAAAGAUUUAGAGUUAAUUUAUACCAUGGAGUGCCAACUGAUGGACAUAAACAGGAUGCAAAGCGAAAUUUGAAAACAACAAAAUAUUCCAAGAAAAAAAAAAGGAACAAAGGUGGAUCAUAUAAGAAUCUUCUUUCUUUAAUCAUAUUGUAUUGCAUUAUUUCAAAAACUAAGUAUCUAAUUUCACCCAAAAAAAAUUACCUAGAUCAAAUAUUUCACAAAAAUUAACUCCAGAAGUUACCUUCCAAGAGAUGAGUUGGUAGCUUCUAUCUAUUCGACUUGCAGUGGGUCUGCAAAAAAAAUGUCCUUUAGUGACCCUAGAGGAAGACGGAGAAAAACCCAUCUCUUGAAUACCCUUUCAGCUAAAGCGGUUUCACUGCAAAAAUCACAAAAUCAACACAAUUUCAACAUAAACUUGAAAUUAAGGAAAUGACUUAACACUAUAACGAUUCGAAAGCAUUGGAAUUUAAAUCACAAUUCUUACAAAUUAACCAAAAAAUGCCAUCCAAAACCCCAACCAAUUAACCAAAAAAUGCCACUUGUACUUUUAGCUUAGUCUUCCGAUUGAAUCAGAUCUAUCAUCAAAUUUCAAUCAGAAAAUAGAAAAUUAAGAACAACCCAGUAUUUCCACUCACCUGCUGUGAAACUUGUCCCUGUUGAGCAGCAGUAGGAACGGGUAAACUGGGUGAUAUAUACAACUGAUUAAAACACUCAAGCUGCUUCAGCUACAUAACAGAAAAUGAAAAAAAUGUUAGCACAACAGUAUAAAUGCAGGUAAAGGAGUCAAUAUAUGGAGCAACCAUCUUGCCCUCCCCCGACUGUUUGUCUCUUAAGCUAAAUUGCCAUCCAAAACAAAUAGAACAGACACUCACUUACCCUCUAUUUCUGUAAACGGAUCCUAUAACCGACAUCGAAGCUAAGCAUCUAAAACCCUCCUUAGAAGUUAGAAGUAAAAGUUCUCUACUUUAUGGAAGAAUUAAGCACCUCAAUGCCACUAAAACCAAAUCAUCCUAAUAAUUCACCCUCCAAUUUCAUGCCCGAACAAGAGAACGGAAAUUUAUCACCAUGUUCUUUAACUGAAAAAUAAAAAUUGGGGUAAGCCCAGUUCUCAUUUCUAGCAGAGUUCACUCCAUCUAAAUGCUCAUCCAACAAAAAAAAAAUUGAAAUUCCAGCUUCUUUGUUGCCUCCUAUAUUUUAUUAGCCUUCAAAAAGUCCUUAAAUUGGAGCUUUAGAGCUUUGGAGCUAGGAUUUCAAAACGUGAGCUUGUGAGUGCAUGAGAGAGAGAGAGAGAGAGGGCAUACCUGGCCAUGGGAGAGAACGGAGGCUAUAGAAAGAGCUAUGCUCGGCUUAACCGUAACCAUACAAAACAGGAGGACAUGGAAGGGCAUGAAAAAUGGAAGGGCAGACAAUCCUUGUCCAUUCAGAAUAUAACUCGUUACAUAUCACUGUCAAGUUUUCAAUUUACAGGCAAAAGAAACUGUAUGCAUGUGUAUUGUGUAGACAAUGGCUUUAAAUUGAAGCCUUUUAUGCUUAUAGUUUUGGGUCUUUUAUCUAACUAUCUAUUGAGGGGAAGCGACACACGUGAACAAGCAAAUGCUAGUAUAUGGUUUUGGGCCUUUUAUCCAACUUUCUAUUGAGGGGAAACAACACAUGUGAUUUAAAUCCUAAGGCCUAGGCUAAUUUAUGAUAGUAUAUACUUUAAAUAAUUUCCUUGAUAUUAAUGGUAUAGGGUAGGUGUAAUCGUGUAAUAAGACAAUCUUAAAUUCUUAAUGGAAAGCGGGGCUGACAAAGAAGAUGCAUAUAACAUACGAGGCCCGCAAACAAAUAAUGAAUGAUAUUGAGUCGACCCAAAUUUGAGGUUGUGGGUUCGAACAAUGCAACUCUCACACUUGGUCUAUCAUUUUAUAUAAAAUUAAGUCGACCCAAAUUUGAGGUUGUGAGAAGAUGCAUGUAACAUGAACACUUAUAUAAUUGAACCUUACUUUCGAAAAUUAAUCAAAGUUUUGGUUUAAAAUCUCAGUCAGUUUCAUGUAUACGAUUUUUUUUCUUCUUAUAAAUCUUAAUUAAAAAGUUAUCAUAAUUUGUUGUUUAUCGUUAGAGGGGGAGCGCGAGUAGUGGUGCAGCAUCAAAAUGAAACUGGGACAAGAUAUGUUGGUGAAAAUCCUACUAACUCUGGAUCUCAAAACUCUGAUGCGAUUCAAAUGUGUCUCUAAAUUGUGGUAUGCUCUCAUCAACAAUCCAGGUUUUGUACUACAAAAUGGACUUAUUGUGUCACUGGGUGAUGUCGCUUUAAUAUAAUAUAGUGGCGGAUAAGACAUUUGCGAUACCUACUGAACUUGACGUCUGAUUUAUUGUCGCUUGUAAGCGUCAGAAACUGUCUAUGUCGAUCAUCAUGACAUAAGUUUAAACCUUGCCAAUGGAACUCAAAGCUUGCAUGUUAUUCUUUUUACAAAAUCCUUAAUUUUCAUCGAUCAUCAUGACAUAAGAUUUUGUGGUAUCCACUUCUGUAAAUAUUUUAAAUUGACGAUCAAAUUAGUUCAUUGUAUUCAUAUAUGAUCAAGGAGUGUAGCUGUAAAAAAUCACCAAAAUCGGAGUUAAAAUAACCGUUUAAUCGUGAUUUUUCGUUUAUAAUCGUCAAAAAGUUUUGUCUCCUUACUUGAUCUCUGAAUGUUUGUUUUUUGCAAUUUUUGGCGUAUGCGAUCUCGAAGCAUAUAUAAACAAGCUUGACGGUUGGAUCGUUGAAAUUAGUUUCGUAGAAUGCGUAUCCCAUCAAAACAAUAGAUUCAUUAACACUUAAGUUUAUUUAUACUUUCAUUAAGUAUAACAUAAGAAUUUGUGGUAUCCACUAGUGUAAAUAUUUUAAAUUGAAGAUCAAAUUCAUUCAUUGUAUUCAUAUAGGGUCAAUGAGUGUAGCUGUAAAAAGUCUCAAAAUCGGAGUUAAAAUAACCGUUAAAUCGUGAUUUUUCGUUUAUAACCGUCGAAAAGUUUUGUCCCGUUACUUGAUCUUUGAAUGUUUGUUUUUUUGUGAUUUUUGGCGUAUGCGAUCUCGAAACAUAUACAAACAUGUUUGAAGGUUGGAUCGUUGAAAUUAGUUUCGUAGGAUGCGUAUCUCAUUAAAACGAUAGAUUCACUAACACUUAAAGUUUAUUUAUACUUUCAUUAAGUAUAACAUAAGAUUUUUUGGUAUCCACUAGUGUAAAUAUUUUAAAUUGAAGAUCGAAUUCAUUCAUUGUAUUCAUAUAGGAUCAAGGAGUGUGUAGCUGUAAAAAAUCAUCAAAAUUGGAGUUAAAAUAACUGUUAAAUCGUGAUUUUUCGUUUAUAACCAUCGAAAAGUUUUGUCCCGUUACUUGAUCUCUAAAUGUUUGUUUUUUGUGAUUUUUGGCGUAUGCGAUCUCAAAGCGUAUACAAACAAGUUUGAAGGUUGUAUCGUUGAAAUUAGUUUCGUAGGAUGCGUAUCCCAUCAAAACGAUAGAUUCACUAACACUUACGAGUUUAUUUAUACUUUCAUUAAGUAUAACAUAAGAUUUUGUGGUAUCCACUAGUGUAAAUAUUUUAAAUUGAAGAUCGAAUUCAUUCAUUGUAUUCAUAUAGGAUCAAGGAGUGUAACUAUAAAAAAUAAUCAAAAUCGGAGUUAAUAUUUUGUGCCUUUAUUUAUAGUAGUAAAGGGAGAUAAGAUAUUCUUUCUUCUCCAAGUAAUACAAGUUGUAAUAGGAAAGGAUAACUAGAAUCAAAUCUAAUCUAGGAUUUACACAAUCAUACUUAAACUAGGAAUGUUCACAACACUCCCCCUUGAGUGUGUAAAUACUCAAGGUAGAUUCAGCAUCAUGCAGAAGUUGAGGAAGUCGACUCGUCGGCACUGAUUCCAAGGAACAACGCUUAUUCUCAAUAAGGUAGGAACUUGCAUAAGUAGUAAGUCUCACUAAAAAACCAUAAGGCUAUGGCAAAAACCCGAGUAGGGACAAAAUCCAUAGUCUAAGGAAAAAUGUAUGAGAAAUGCAAAGUUAAAAGAAACGUCUACAGGACGUCAUCAGGGAUAUGACCAGCCCAAGGUGGGUGCCUCGUUAAAACCUAGUUAGGUAGCAAAAACCCAUUGGGAAAAUGCUCCUAAUCGUAGGGAAAAAGAAUACAUUAAGAUCAAGCAAGUAUCUACAGGAUACUCCCCAUGAGUUUGACAUAAUUCCAAAGAGAAAUAGCAAAGUUACAACUCAAAAAGUUUACACAUACUGAUUCCAUGAACAAGCUUCUGAAACGUCGCCUUCGGUAGUGAUUUCGUGAAGAGGUCGGCCAGAUUGUCUUGUGAACGGAUUUGCGUAACUUCAAUCUUCUGAUGCUCUUGUUGUUGAUGUGUAAAGAAAAACUUCGGCGCAAUGUGCUUGGUGUUGUCUCCUUUGAUGUAACCUUUCUUGAGUUAUUCGAUGCAAGAUGCGUUGUCUUAAAAAAUCAUCGUCGGGGCAUUAACGGCGGGAUGAAGAUCGCAGGAGCUUCAAAUAUGGCCCACUACUGCUCUCAACCAAAAGCAUUCCCGAGUUGCUUCAUGUAAGGCGAAAAUUUUAGUAUGGUUAGACGAAGUGGCAACUAAGGUUUGUUUAGUUGACCUCCAAGAGAUUGUGGUGCCUCCAACGGUAAAGACAUAACUCGUUUGAGAACGCACCUCCAGCGUCGGCAUAACCAACAAGGCGAGAAUCAACCCGAUGAGCAUAAGGUGCGGCAUCACUCGAGGAUUUGUAGGGAUAGAACAAGCCAAAAUCCAUAGUACCCUUAAGGUAGCGGAAGAUGUCUUUCACGCCAGUCCAGUGUCUGCGUGUUGGUGCAUUGCUGUAUCUUGCCAAAAGAUUAACAUCGAAGGAGAUGCCGGGUCUAGUGCAUUGAGCUAAGUACAAUAAAGCGCCUAUCGCACUUAGAUAAGGAACUUCAGGCUCCAAAAUCUCUUCAUCAUCCUCAUUCGGACAUGAGGGAUCUCGUUUUGCAUCUAGCGUAUGAACGACCAUAGGAGUACUCGAAGACUUCGUUUUAUCCUUAUUAAAACGGCGCAACACAUUCUGGGUGUAGUUCGAUUGAUGUACUAGGAUUCCAUCCGAACAAUGCUCUAUCUCGAGACCGAGACAGUAUCAAGUCUUACCUAGAUUUUUCAUCUUAAAUUCCGACUUCAGGUGCGAAACAGUUCUUGCGAGCUCUUCAGGAGUUCCGAUGAGAUUCAUGUCAUCGACAUAUAUUGCAACAAUUGCAAAUCCAGAAUGUGACUUUUUAAUGAACACACAAGGGCAUAGUUCGUUGUUCACAUAUCCCUGACUAGUCAAAUACUCACUCAGAUGGUUAUACCACAUUCUUCCAGAUUGUUUCAAACCGUAGAGUGAACUCCUCAGCAGAAUUGAAAGCGUGUUCCAGGGUUUGGAAAUAUUUGAACCAGUCAAUGUAAGUCAUUCGGGAACUUUCAUAUAAAUUUCCGUAUUAAGAUUCCCAUAGAGAUACGCGGUUACUACGUCCAUCAGCUGCAUAUCCAGUUUUUCGGAAACUACCAAACUUAUAACGUAGUGAAAAGUAAUCACAUCCAUAACGGGUGAGUAAGUUUCGUCAUAGUCAAUCCCGGGGCGUUGCGAGAAACCUUAUGCUAUAAGAUGAGCUUUGUAACGCACAAUCUCGUUUUUCUCAUUACGCUUCCGAACGAAAACCCACUUGUAGCCAACGGGCUUCACAUGUGGAGGAGUAGGAAUUACAGGUCCAAACACCUUAUGUUUCGCAAGUGAAUCGAGUUCGACUUGGAUUGCUUGUUUCCAGUUUGACCAAUCAGCUCUACGUCGACAUUCAUCAACGGAACGCAGUUCAAUAUCAUCGCUCAACAUGAUCUCAGUAGCUACUGCAAAUGCUAAUGCAUCGUCGACAAUCAUCUCAUUUCUACGUCACACAUCAUCUAAGCUAGCAUAAUAGACUGAAAUCUCACGAUUCUCGGGAUGAGGAUUCAUCUCUUCAAGGACGUUUCCGUAAUCUAGAAUUUCCCCAUGAGUUGGGUAGAAUGAGUAAGCGAUAGUCAGAUUCACGGUAGGCUCUUUAGGACCUUGUGCCGUGGUUUUCCUCUUCCAGGGGUGUGAAUCCUUUGAACCAAGGGGUCUGCCAUGCUUUUAUGUAGGGGCAGAUGAUUGGCUAGCCGCUAAUGUACGUGGAUCACCAGAAUUGGCGUCCUGGGCUUCCAGAAAGGCAAUCUGUCGUACAUUUGGUACAUCCAUCUUUGCAGGCGUAUUUGCAACUGGAAUAUGUGAUAUUGUCAUGCGCGCUAGAUCGGUGAAAGCAUCUGGCAUGCUCUGAGCUAUGCUCUAGAGAUCUAAUAUGCGCUGCACUUCAGCUUCGGACUGAGCGGUGCAGGGAUAUAAAUGAGACAAAGUAGGAGUCGUUCACGAUAAUUCGCGCCGUUCAUUAGGAACGUUGACAUUCUUAUCUCCCCCUAACGACGAGAAGACUGUCUCAUAGAAGUGACAAUCCGUGAAAUAAGCGGUAAACAGAUCACCUGUCAAAGGUUCUAAGUAACGAAUAAUCGAAGGAGAAGCAUAUCCGACACAGAUUCCCAUCCUUCGCUGAGGCCCCAUUUUUGUACGUAAGGGUGGUGAGAUCGGCACAUAUACCGCACAACCAAAGACGCGCAUAUGUGAUAUGUCGGGUUCGCAUCCGGUGACCAACUGAAAGGCACUAAAUGGUUGUGUCGCAACAGGCCUCAGGCAGACCAACUUUGUUGCGUGCAAUAUUGCAUGGCCCCAAGCAGCGAUCGGGAGCUUGGUACGUAUGACCAAUGAUCGAUCAAUCAUUUAUAAGCGCUUAAUGAAAGCCUCUGCCAGGCCGUUCUGGGUGUGAACAUGGGGUAUAGGAUGUUCAACUUCAACCCCAACCGACAUGCAAUAGUCAUCAAAAGUUUUAGAUGUGAAUUCUCCAGCAUUAUCCAAUCGAAUAAAUUUGAUCGGAUAAUCAGGGUGGUGAACCCUGAGCUUGAUAACUUGAGCCAAUAGUUUGGAGAUUGCAGCGUUCCUUGUGGACAACAAGCACACGUGUGACCAAUGUGUGGAAGCGUCAACCAAAACCAUAAAAUAUCUAAAUGGUCCGCAGGGAGGUUGAAUUGGUCCACAAAUGUCCCCCUGAAUCCGUUGUCGAAAAAUGGGAGGAUUCGAACGAAUCUUGUCAUAAGAAGGCUUAGUAAUAAGCUUUCCCAUAGAACAUAUUUGACAUGCGAUUUCAUGGAUCGAACCUAAGCUUCGGGUUAGUAGAUGCCCGUGUGAAGAUUUGAGGAUACGACACAUCGAUAUUCAUCCAGGAUGUCCCAAACGAUCAUGUCAAGUGUAAUUUCGUGCGCGGUCCCUGUGGUAGGGCUGGCCACAUAGUGGCAUUCUAUGGAGCGUAUGGUCGUAGUAUACAGACCACUCGGGAUACGCUCCAUCUUCUCGAGAAUACGCUUCUGGCCAUAUUCGUAGGAAGUUAUGCACAGAAAUUCAACUCCGUUUUCUAUGUGGGUUUCAGCGUGGUAAUUGUUAUCUAUAAUGUCCUUGAAACUAAGUACCGUUCUUCCGGAACGUGGAGAAUAUAGUGCCUCAGCAAUGGUCAAGAUUGUACCAUUGGACAACAUUAUACGUGCCGUACCGUAUCCUUCUAUCAGGUUGGAUGGGCCUGAGAGGGUUGUCAGAGGUGCAUUCUUAGGUAUGAAGUUAGUGAAAUAGAUGCGUUCACGCAAAACAAUGUGCGUGGUUGCACUAUCUGCCAGACAACUAACUUUCCCACUAGUCAUACCUAGAAUGAAAAAUUAAUUUGAAUCGGUCACAUGCAUAAAAGUUAAUAAAAAAAAUAUCAAUUCAAAAUAAUUUCAUUUAUUCAAGGAUUAAAACUUAAUAUCCAAAACAAAUCACCAACGAAUAAUCCAAAACAUAAAGGAAAAUUGUUCAAAAUCAACCAAAAAAACAAGGGGGGUUUGGCCACUAGGUGGAAUUCGGCCCCAAUGGUCUUAUUUUAACUAAGAAAGUAGUUUAUGUCUAAGAUUCUAAUCUUCCAUAGGAGUGGUAUCCUCCUGAAAGUCAGAAACCUUCAUUUUUGUAGUCUCCGGUUCGUCCACUUGCAUGAAGUUUGAUUCAAACUUCUUACGACGAGAAUGAUAUUCAUCUACAACCUUCUUGGAAGCUCGGCAAACACGGGACCAAUGGUCCUUUGAACCACAGCGAUAGCACAUAUCGUCAUCCAUGGUUUUGGGUGCUUUGCCCUUAUUCUUGAAGUUCGGGGCCUUGGGAGCGAGGUUUGGGCGCUUCUGGCCUUUGUUUCCUCCUUUGGAUGGGUCUCGGCUCUGUUGACCUUUGUGGGAUGGCUUCUGGCCGCCACUACCACGCCUUUUUUGGCGUGUUGGGUGCUGAUUAGUGCUAUAAUGUGUUUUAGGCACAACAGUAGCCCCAGUAGGUCGAGCUUGAUGAUUCUUCAUCAACAGCUGGUUCUGCUUUUCAGCAAGAAGUAAAACAGAGAUCAAAUCCAAGAACUUGGUGAACUUCUGAGCUCUAUAUUGUUGCUGCAGGACAAUAUUAGAAGCAGAGAAGGUCGAAUAGGUCUUCUCCAGGAGAUACUCUUCAGUUAAAGUUUCAUUGCAAAACUUGAGAAGUGAUCGGAUUCGACAAACUUCCGAAUUAUAUUCAUUCACAGACUUAAAGUCUUGGAAGCGCAAGUGCUGCCAGUCGAGUCUUGCUUUAGGCAAGAAUAUGUCCUUUUGGUGAUCGAAACAAUCAGCCAAAGCGACCCAUAAUGCACGUGGAUCCUCCUCAGCAAGGUACUCAGUGUGCAGAGCGUCAUGGAUAUGUCUUCGGAUGAAGAUCAUAGCAGUGGCUUUUUCAGCUUCGCCAACAGGUUCAUCUGUUGCUUCUUCAAUAGCAGGACUCAAGUUCUUUGCAGUGAGGUGGAGCUUCACAUCUUGAACCCACUUGAGGUAGUUCCUUCCAGAGACCUCUAAAUCGGUGAAGUCGAGUUUGUUCAAAUUUGACAUGUUCCUUAUAAUAGAUGGACAAGAUGUGGUUAGUGUAAUGGAGAAAAAUCAAUCCAUUCACAUAGGAGUAGAACAUACUGGUUCUAAUAAACAUGUAUUGUUUUAAUUUUGCAUGAAAAACUUCGGGUUUUCAUGGGUGAUAUGUUUAAGUGAAAACUUCAGGUUUUCAAACAAGGCAUGUUUAUAAGAAACUUCAGAUUUCAAAGUAAUUAUGAACUUCAGGUUCAUGUAUUCCUGCAGGCAAACGCAAAUAUAUAUGCAAACAAAUAUGCAACAAGUAUAUGCAAGAAACAUAACUUGUAGGUGUAUAAUUAUAAUUGAAUUAAUUAUUUGGACUUUGGGCCAAAUUAAAAAUGUGGGUGAAAAAAUAUAAAAACCCAAAUUAUUUAAAGAUAUUAAAUAAUAAAAUCUCGGGGGCCUAAAGUAUGGGCAAAGCCCACGGGUGGCUCAUGGGUGAGCUGCAGGCUCGCGGGGAGACAUGGCAAGAGAAAUGGGCUGCUGUAGGCAGCAAAAAAAUUUCUUUGUGUUUUUUUUUUCACACACGGGAUGCUUCAGGCAGGUCCAAGAAAAAUCAAAACAAAAAAAAUUUCCUUUUUUUUUCGGGCUGGGCCGCUGCAGGCAAGCCCAGAAAAAACAAAAAAAAAUUAUUUUUUUUUCUUUUUUUUUCUUGCACGCACGGGCCGAGGAACAGGAGCCCACUAGGGCUAGGGUUGCAGGGAACCAGGACACCCCAGUGGCACUGGGUGUCAAAAUUGAACCGGGGGGAUGCCAGCGUCGCUUCAGGCGACUGUCCUCGGGGCUCUAGAGUUCGGCAAAACUCGUGGGUUCAACGAGUGACCCAAAUGAGAAUAGAGAUUGACGAAAUCUCGUCGUGCUAUCAAAAACCCUAUGAAACAAAUUGGGAUUUCAAAGAAAUUGUGACGAGAUUCGAGAAAAUCUUCGGCCAUAGGACACCGUGGACGAUCUGCAGGUCGUUUGAGGAGGCUAGGCACGGCUGCAGGCCGUGCAGCACGGUGAUGGAUUGGUGGCGACACCUGCUGGGUGUCGGGGUUAAGGGUUUGGGCGAGGAGCAGAAGCUCCGGCCGUGGUCUUUGGCUCGAAGGAUCGAUGUAGGCUGUAGGCCUGGUGAGGAAAACGAGCUGAGCCAUCGCAGGCUGCGGGCCUGGUGGCAUGGGUUCGAAUUAAACCUAGAAUUCCCGAUAUGUUUUUUUUUCAAUUCAAAUAUAAUUAUAUGCAUAUAUAUUUCAAUGAAUCACAUAUUUACUUUGAUGCAUAUGCAAAUAAUAGUUUCAAUGCAUGUACAUAUGUAAGAUUCAAUUCAUGAAAAAUAUCAAAUUCACAUAAUUGCAGCAAUUUUGGUUAUGAGGCAUACACAAUUUAUGUAGAAUCUAAAAUACGUUAAACGUAAAGUUGGGUCAUGCAUUAUGGUGAAUGUUCAUGCUAUCAGGGCUUGCAAAAUAUCGAGUUAAAAGCCGUUGUUUUGAAAGAACCUGAUUGCGUGAUGAUAUGGAUGAACUGGUUUGAUGCAGAAAAAAAAUUCUCCAACGUCAGAUUCCUAAGCGUAGCGGUAGGAGCGUGCUGAUAACGUGUUGUGGUCUAUUUUUAUCUGACAAAGGGAGAGGGGCCGACAACACAGGAGAAAGGGAAGAGAGAUGUGUCUUUGUAGAAUUGUAGGGGAAUGUGUGUUGUUAUCCCUCCUACAUUGUGCCUUUAUUUAUAGUAGUAAAGGGAGAGAAGAUAUUCUUUCUUCUCCAAGUAAUACAAGUUGUAAUAGGAAAGGAUAACUAGAAUCAAAUCUAAUCUAGAAUUUAUACAAUCAUACUUAAACUAGGAAUGUUCACAACAAAAAUAACCGUUAAAUCGUGAUUUUCCGUUUUAUAACCAUCGAAAAGUUUUGUCCCGUUACUUGAUCUCUGAAUGUUUGUUUUUUGCGAUUUUUUGCUGAUGCGAUCUCGAAGCAUAUACAAACAAGUUUGACGGUUGGAUCAUUGAAAUUAAUUUCGUAGAAUUCGUAUCCCAUCAAAUUCAAUGGUAUAUAUAUAUAUAUAUAUUUAGUAAGUAGAUUUAAAUUUAUUUAUUUUGUACGUAUAACACUUAACAAAUUGAAUUGUAUGUAUAUUUAAGCCGAUCCAAUGGUCACCAAUUUUUAAAAUUUAAUUUAAUAUAUAUAUAUAUAUAAUUAUUAUAGUUUUAGGGGUUAAAAUUGUUAAAUUAAUAUAUAUAAUUAUUAUAGUAUUUUUAGGGUUAUAAAAUUAUAAAAUUAUAAAAUUAAUAUUUUGGAUGAUCGAAUUCUUGAUAAUGAAAAUUUCCAUGCAAUGGUUGGUGUGGAAGAGACUCUUUUUCAUGAAUCAUUACCACUGCCUACUGAGUUCGUUAAUUAUGCCAAUACUGACGACGACCUAACAGAUGAUGACUUGGAAUAAAUAUAUUAAUUAUUUUAUGUAUUUUAAGUAUUAAUUAGACUAUGUUUCAAUUAGUAUGUGAUGAUAUUUUAUAAUAAAAAUAUAUUUAUGUUUUCUAUUACAUUUUAUUCAAGUUAAAUUUUAUUUAUUAAAAUCUUAAAAUGUUAUAUGAGAUAACACAAAAACAAAGAGCUGGUUAUUUUUUUUCUUUGGGUUAAAACAUUUUUUUUAAACUAGUCUGCUGUCGGUUUUAGCCGACGACAUUGGUCGGAUAAUUUGAAAUAUUAGGUGGGAAAUUUCCCGCUUGUUUUGCACGAGGAAAUGGAUGGAGAGACUUAGUGUCGGUUUUAACCGAUGCUAGUUUCAUUAAAGUGACGCUAUGUGAAUUUCAAAAAAUGUGUCAGAAGUUGGUGUCGGUUUUAACAGACGCUAGUUUCACUAAAGCGACGCGAGUUUCAUUAAAGCGACGUUAUGUGAAUUUCAAAAAGUCUGUUAGAAGUUGGUGUCGGUUAUGACCGACACCAACAUAAAUUUAAACCGACACCGUAUUUUCAAUAAAGAGUGUCAGAAAGUGUGUCAGGUUGGCGUCGGUUUUAACCGAUGCUAUGCACAUUUAAUUCAACGCCAUGUACUUUUAAUUUGACAUAAGUUAAUCAUUGUCAGUUUAAACCGACGCAAACUAAGUACCCAUAUUUAAACCCCUCUCUUUGCCAUUUCAUCCGUGCUUUCAUUUCUCCCCCAAUUUCAAACUUUCUUCUUCUUCUUCCCCAUUUCAUCUGUGCAUCCCUUUCUUCCUCCUUUUCAAUUUUUCCUCUUCUCCUUCCCCAUUUGCUAUGGAUCACCAUUUUGAAGAUCAACAUUUUGAGGAACCCCAAUUCCAAGAGGAAGAGCUUGAAGGUGGUUCAUUUUUAAAUUAUUAUGAUUAUUAAUUUUAGUUUAUGUUUUGUAUUCUAACUAGUUUUAUGCUUAAAUUUAAAAUUUAUUUUUGUUUCUUGGUUUUUAAUUGUUUUUCAGUAUUUAUAAGGAUCAACUCAACGGAGACACGGACCCUCAAUUCCGAAUUGGAAAGAACAACCUUGUUCAUUUGAUUCUUCUGGAAAAUGCAUUAGUGAUAAUUCUAAUGAGUUUUCGAAACAUGUAGCGGCAUAGGUUAGAGAUUACAGAAAUAUUCCAAUGGUGGCAUACUGAAAUAAAGAAAAAACAAAGGUAAACGUAUCAUGAUUUAUUUUAUUAUACCUUGAAAUUUGUCUAAUAAAUUCUUUUAUUUUUCAGGAGAUUGCCGAAAAAAAAAGAAGCAUAAUCGGCAGUUGAAACUAUGUACCACACAACCGGUUCAAAAUCUUUUGCAAGAGUUUGGGAAGAAUUUGUAUGGGUUGUACAUUUUUAAGAAUUGUAGUUAAUUUUAAAUUUAAUAUAUAGUUGGUAGAAAUUUUAUUUCUAAUAUGAAGUUUGCUUAAAAUUGUUUGUUUUUUCAUUGACAUAUGGUGGGAUUUAUUUUUAUAUAAUUUUUUAAAAUUAUUAUUAAUUAAAAAUGGAAAAAUAAUUUUUUUAUUAUUAAUAUAUUUGGUGUCGCUUAUGGACGACAGUAGCUUAAUUUUUUUAUUUAUAGAGAUGGUAGGUAAUGUCGAUUACGACCGAUAGUAGCUCGACUAUUUUAUUUAUUUAACUUAGGUGAUGUCUGUUUGGACCGAUAGUAAGUGUGAUAUUUUAAUUGUUUAUUUGUUACUUAAUGUCGGUUUGGACCGCCAUCAUAUCAGAUUUUCAUGUCUCUUUUAAGCGACGUAAGCACCGAUGUCGCUUUUAAGCGACGCUGUUGUUCUUUUUUAUUUUAUAUUAUUUUCCUUCUUAGUGGCGGAUUAAGGGGGAUAAGCGAUGUCAAUACCCUUUUGUGACGGUAGUAUUGGCGUCGCUUCCACUAUCCGAAAUUGCACGAUUUAAUGUCGGAUUUUUACCAAAAAUCCGACAGUAAGUGGUGUUUUUUGUCGGUUUUAUAGCGCCAGUAAUAUCCCUUUUUGUAGUAGUGGUGUCAAGGCCCCUCUCCAACUCCGCGAACAACAAUCUCACUACUUUCCACGUCCCUUUUGGAGCGAUUAGUAGUGCAGCGGCAGCAUGAGGGGGAGGAGGAGGAGGACCCCAAGUGUAACAACUCCACUAAGAAGGAGGAGACUGAAGUAGUAUUAUCAUUUCUUAAGUUUUGCAGAGGAUGAUAAUAUUGAUGACGAGCAUAGCAGUAUCUGCUCUCUUGUUGGCGCCCAGGACAUCAUUAUUCCUCAAUCUUUGAUUCAAAAGAUCGGAGUCCCGGAACAACAAUUUAGUAUCAAGGGCCACUGCAAGGGCAUCGUUUUACUAAAUAGUGAGAAUAGCCUAGUUUUAUGCAAUCCCGGAAUUGAGGAAUUCAAUCGUAUUCCCGAUGUGCCAUGCCUUCCAAUGUGGCCCUUGGACCAGCAGGAUGAUUACGAUGGGCAAGAACAUAUUGAAACUGGUUUUCAUACUGGAUUGGCUAUGAUCCCAAAUCUAAUGAGUACAAAGUUGUGAACUUUACUACUUAUUUUCAAGAGACAGAUGAAAACUGCUGGAGAUUUCUUAGUCGGUGAUUUUUUGAAAGAGAUCAACACCGAUUCUUUAGAAACUGAAACUAGUUUGUUUUGGCCUGAGUAUUUCCAGAUGUUCUCCAAGGGAAUGUGUUAUUGGCUGGCAAUUGAGCAAGAUAAGGAAUUAUUUCCAUUCGACCUAAUUGGGAGUCGAUUCCAAGCGAAUGGGACAUUGAUCAUUUCUUUCGAUACAAGUCGUGAGGUAUCUCACGGUAUACCCUUACCAUCUGAGCUCCAACAGUUUGUCCGGUCGGAUCACCUUUGUUUGAAGCUUACUGUGUGGAAUGAAUCAGUUGCUUUUCUUGCCCGUGUUGUGAACAGUCCUCAUGACAACAGAUAUCCUGAACCUUAUGAAAUGUGGGUGAUGGAUGAUGACUUUAAGGGUGCCUAUUGAGCGUACAGAUCAGAUACUAGGGUCUAACCCUGUGGCAUUGUGGGGCGAUGAGUUUCUUAUGGUUGACACUGACGGACACGUAGUUAAUUUUCUUUUAUCUUUGUACCAAAAAGCUGAAGCACAUUCCCAUUGAAGCAGAAGAUAAUGAUUAUGUUGUUGUUUAUGUGAAUAGCAUAGUUUCGGUCAUGGGAUGCAGCCACAAGCUUGAGAGCAUAGAGAAUACUUGCUCAGAUAAAGAUGAAGAUGCGAUGGUGGUGUUAGACGGGAAGAGGGAAAGCUGCAGGAGGUUGUCCUCAUAUUCGGUUUGGGCCAUUCCACCGGUUGAUGUUUGCCAUAGAAUCAACAAGGUGAUGGAGGGCCGGAGAUCGAACCUCACAUCCUCAUCUUGGGAUCCAUCCAGAUGAUGAGUCGUGAAGAAGCCCUUAGAAAAGUUCUCUGAAUGCAGGCAUUUAGGGAAUGUAGUGCUGAGCUUGCAAAUUAUAAUUAAUUGUAAAUAUGCACUCUUCGUGUUAGUGCCUCGAUUCUCAUUUAAUUUGUUCGAUUAAAAGUCUAAAAGGAAAAAAGGAAAGAGAGUAUUAAAUACAGUUCAUAAAUCAUUUCCCUAUAUCAAACUGGCUCGACGACGACAAAUAAUGAUGCGGUGACGACGACAAAUAAUGAUGUGAUGACGCUGACAACCACAAUUUGGCGAUGAGCCAAAAAUGCACAGCUUAGGUUUUUUUAUAUGUAAGGGUCCUUCUUCCUUAAUUUCCAAUGACUACGAGAGACGUACCAAAAUCCCAUUAAAUCUACAAAUUAAAAAGUUUUUGCACAUGCGUCGAAAUCCAAUUUGUGUGCGAGGAAGAACAGCCUUACAUGUAAGGAACCAAGUAUUUUCCGAGCAAAAUUGAACUCUCUGCAAUCGAAACCGGAAGAGGCUAGUCUCCUGUUUGUAAAUUUUAAGACCCAAACUUCAUUUAAAUCAUCAUAAAUUUUAAGACUACCAUAAAUUAAGGCUAAAUAUUCACGUCCGAGCACUCAACCUCUUAAAAAUAGUACAAAAGAUAAACUCCUACUGGUUGAAAUAAACUAGGUUAAAUGAUACAAACACCUACCAUCAUACAUCUUCCCGGCGGCCAACUUCCCAUUCAUCCGCGUGUCGGUGGAAGAGACCUACCAUCUAAUAUUCCAUUCUGACAAGUGCUGUGGACGCAUCUACUGAUCCACACUGCAUCCAGUCCUUGGCACAUAUGAGGGCUUCAACCGUCUCUGGUCGUAGGGAACUCCUGUACUGAUCCAUCUCCUUGACCGUGGUAUCAAAGACAGAGUUGGUAGGAACUGUAGAUACCGGAAUUGACAAAAUGUCUCGAGUCAUCUUUGAGAGCGUCAGGUACUUCAUCUUGUUCAGUUUCCACAAGCCUAACACAUCAAAAUCAUUAACUCGGGGCAGCAGAGACUCAUCCAAAUACUGAUCCAGCUCUGACUUCAUCUGUUGGCUGGUAGUCUCCAUGAUGUACAUGUCAAAGUCUGUGAGUCCGUUGUCUGUUAGGAUAGCUCCACCUUGGGAAUCCUCUAUCUUAAUGUUGUUAUUCCCUUUGUCUGCAUAAGUUGGUGUGAGAGGCAAAGGCAGUGUCAAAUAUUCAUGAAAGAGCUCAUGAAUUCCGUCAUCGACAACCUUGAUAUGCAUUGGAACUUCUUCGCCAGAAAUUUUGUUGAAACUGAACUCAACAAGCUUCAUCUUGAACCUGGGAUCCAUAACUACUGCUGUUGCCAAAGCCAGGCUACAAUUCUUCCAGUAUUUUUCAAUUCUUUCUUGCAUUGUCUUAGUUAGGCAGCUAAUGAAGGGAUCCUCACUUGCGACCGUCUUAGUCAGAUCAGUCUGAAUCCUCCACACUUCAUGGAAGAAAGUAACUGCAGUUGGGUUAGUGUAGUGGUAAGGAUAUUGGCCGCAUCGAAGAUAAGUUUCAAAUAUGUGCAGAUAGUCUCAACUUGCUUCCAGUCUUCCAUUGACGGGGUUUGUUUGUAAUUAGGAUCAGAUGUAUCCAAGCAAGUAAAAACUUCCUUUAACUCAGAACAGGCCACCAGCAUUUGAUAUGUUGUGUUCCAUUUAGUUUGGUCGUCAAUUGAUGGGCUCCUUUCACUUGGGACUUGGAGCUGACUCUAAAGCUCCAGAAACUUUUCUUAAUGGGACUCUGAUGUCUUCACAUACUUUACACUAUCCUAGACUUUUUUUACUACACCGCUUCCUGCUGCUAACAGUUCUUUUGCAAUGCUGUUCAAAGUACGGGCCAUGCAAUGCCCAACCAAUAGUUGACCAUUGAGGAUAAGUGGGUUCUUGUUUGAAAGGAGAGGCCUUAAAUUUUCAAGAGCAGUCUCACUCAGUGGCUGAUCAUAAGUGACUGAAAAUAACUUGUUUUCCAAACUCCAAUCAUUAAGGCAAACAGCAACAGCAUGACUAAGCGCAGAAUCAGAGUCCGGAUAUGGUUCCAUCACUACAUUGAGCAGCCGCCUAUGCAACUUCCAGUCAGCAUCAAUGAAGUGCCCAGUAAUAAACACAUAACCCACGCUUUGAGAGGAACUCCACAUGUCCAAAGUAAGGCAGACACGUCCAGGUAUGCCCUCAAUAAACUUGGUGACACUUUGCUUUUCCGUUAGGUAAGUUGCAACACAAUCUCCUUGAACAGUAUUGAAGCUCACCAUGUUGAACUGUGAGUUAAGAUUCUGUGCAAAAGCUACAAACCCAGGAUGCUCAACCAUAUGCAGGGGGUAGUCAUGCAUGAUGAUCAUCCUUGCAAUCUCAUGGCGACAACGGUCUGGAUCAAAUAUAAUUUGGGGUGUGUUAGCAAUCCAGUAACGCCUUUUUGGUGGAUUGGAAGAGAUGCCACCCCUUGAAGCUGGGGUAUAUGGGGAAGACUGAUUGUUGUUCUGGUUACGAAAAAGUGCUGGGCAGGUCCCCUUCGCAAUGUGGUGUUUGAGGUGGCUGGUACCUGCUACUUUUGAACCCGUACUGUAAGCAAAACUUUGCUUACACUGCUUGCAGCAUGCCCUCAGACAAUUGACUUCUUUUUCCUGCACUUGUUAGGCUGUGUUUCUGUAUUUUCCACCUCAUUGUUUUCAUAAGGAGUUGCAGUCUUAUCUUCAAAUGGGGUCAGCAGUAGCAUCUUUUCUUCAUCAGGUGUUUCCAUCAUGUCUUCAUCAGGGGUGGCCCUCUUGUGAUUAAUAGGAGUGGUCAAUGGCUCUUCAAAGUGGGCAGUCAUCGGAUCUUCAAAUUGGGCAGCCAUCGCCUAUUCAUAAUGGGUAGACAUGGGCUCUUCAACGGGGGAGGCCAUCAGCUCUUCAACGGGGGCAGCCAUCGGCUCUUCAAUGGGGGCAGCCAUCGGCUCUUCAGCGUGCACAGCCAUCGGCUCUUCAGCGGGGGCGGCCAUCGGCUCUUCAACGGGCGCGGAUAUCGGCUCUUCGGCUGGGGCGGAUAUUGGCUCUUCAACGGGGGCAGACCACGGCUCUUCAACGCGGGCGGACUACGACUCUUCAACGCGGGCGCCCAUCGACUCUUCCAUGGGGGAGGCCAUUUUGUCUUGAAUAGGAGCAGCAAUUGUCUCUUCAGUAGGGGUUGCCAUGUUGUCUUUGGGAAGUAAAAUCCUGCAUUCAGCAAACAGCCACCACCUUUAAGAAAACGGAAAGUAAAUGCUGUAACUAAGAGCAUAGUGAUAAUGGAACACAUCGUUAAAGACUUCGCCACAGAAUCUGAGCAGCAACAACAACAACAACAACAAAGCAUUUUCCCACUAAGUGGGGUCGCCUAUAUGAAUCCUAGAACGCCAUUGUGCUUGGUUUUGUGUCAUGUCCUCCGUUAGAUCCAAGUACUCUAAGUCUUUUCUUAGGGUCUCUUCCAAAGUUUUCCUAGGUCUUCCUCUACCCCUUCGGCCCUGAACCUCUGUCCCGUAGUCAUAUCUUCGAACCGGAGCGUCAGUAGGCCUUCUUUGCACAUGUCCAAACCACUGUAACUGAUUUUCUCUCAUCUUUCCUUCAAUUUCGGCUACUCCUACUUUACCUCGGAUAUCCUCAUUUCUAAUCUUAUCAUUUCUCGUGUGCCCACACAUCCAACGAAGCAUCCUCAUCUCCGCUACACCCAUUUUGUGUACGUGUUGAUGCUUCACCGCCCAACAUUCUGUGCCAUACAGCAUCGCCGGCCUUAUUGCCGUCCUAUAAAAUUUUCCCUUGAGCUUUAGUGGCCUACGACGGUCACACAACACACCGGAUGCACUCUUCCACUUCAUCCAUCCAGCUUAUAUUCUAUGGUUGAGAUCUCCAUCUAAUUCUCCGUUCUUUUGCAAGAUAAAACCUAGGUAGCGAAAACGGUCGCUCUUUGGUAUUUCCUAAUCUCCGAUCCUCACCCCUAACUCAUUUUGGCCUCCAUUUGCACUGAACUUGCACUCCAUAUAUUCUGUCUUUGAUCGGCUUAGGCGAAGACCUUUAGAUUCCAACACUUCUCUCCAAAGGUUAAGCUUCGCAUUUACCCCUUCCUGAGUUUCAUCUAUCAACACUAUAUCGUUUGCGAAAAGCAUACACCAAGGAAUAUCAUCUUGAAUAUGUCCUGUUAACUCAUCCAUUACCAACGUAAAAAGGUAAGGACUUAAGGAUUGUUGAUGCACAAAAUCAGUGAGGACUUUGGUACAACAGAAAGUAUUAAGUUUGUGAUCUUCGCUAGAUUGCUCUGGUCAUUAGUGUGGAUAAGUAUAUAAAUGGAUUGAGACAUGAAAGCAAACACAAGAUGUACAUGGUUCACCCAGAUUGGCUACGUCCACAGAGUAGAGGAGUUCUCAUUAAUUGUGAAGGGUUUACACAAGUACAUAGGUUCAAGCUCUCCUUUAGUGAGUACAAGUGAAUGAUUUAGUACAAAUGACAUUAGGAAAUAUUAUGGGAGAAUGAUCUCGUAAUCACGAAACUUCUAAGUACCGAAGUGUGGUAUCGUCUUCACUUGCCUUAUCUGUCUCAUAGGUAGAUGUGGCAUCUUCUCUGGAAGUACUCUUCCUCCAUCCAGGGAUGAUAUCUUUAAUUGGUGGAGAUGCACAAAGUAAUGUAUCAAUUUCAUUUGAAGCUUACUUAUAGUUUCAGGCUUGGUCAAGCACGAUACAAACCAUGUAGUAGGAGUCCCCCAAGUCACCGAGCUAGGGGAUCUGCUGAAAGAGGUGACAGACAAGGUAAGCAAUCAGAGCUCCAAGCAAUCAGUCCCAGAUCAAAAGUUUGAUUUCGAGUUUCGGCUGAUUGUUCUCAUUCUCCCUAUCUUGCAGGCAGCAUGAAGGAUAAAGAGAAGAAAAAAUAGAAGAGAUGAUAUGAGAUACUUUUGCUUUUGAAGAAGUAACUUUCCACAGGCUUAUUCUUGAACUGGGCUGGAGGGUUUUCUGGUUUCCUCCAGAGUAUAAGGCCGACUGAAGAAUUUGAGGGUCAAAACAAGUCCAUCAAAUCUAGAGUACGUUCGACCCUGCUGAUAUGGGAUACUUUUGCUGUUGACAAAGUAGUGGAUGUAUCGGCACGUGUUCUGUUACGCUUGUCUCCACAUACUUCCUUGUAUUCUUCUCACUUGCCUUAUCUGUUCCUCAGACAGAUGUGGUAUCUUCUCUGGAAACAUAAGAUGUUGAAGAUGAGUGCUCGAGAGCAAUGCCAGGUAAGUAAUCAGGUAAGGGGUCCAGGCAGUCAGUUCCUGACUGGAAGCUUGAUUCCAAGUGCUGACUGAUUUCUCUCUUUCUCCUUGUCUUGCAGGUAAGAAUAAGGCCAAAGGAAAAGACAGGGAAAAAGCAUGAUAUGGGAUACUCUUGCUUUUAACCCUGAUAAUAUGAGAUAUUCUUGCUCUGGUGUAGCUUGUUUGCAGAGGUAUUAUCGGGGGGAAAGAAAGCUAAGUAUUUCGAGAGGCUUCGUUAGGAGUGCCCUCUCAGAUAUGAGGAAAGGUUGAGCAUUUUUGCAGGUCUGCCUGUCCGUUGAGGAUGGAGGUCGACAUAUAUAGGAGUCUCCCUAACAACAAGUAGUAAUGUUAUUCAUUUACCCUGCUUGGUCAUAGCACGGUAGUGGGAGCUGACAGCUUCACAUGUUUUAACUCUGUCAGAGCACUUUGAAAAAGUGGUCUGUGGUAUCUGGAAAACUGAUGUUGUGUGUGAAGAUUACAGACAAGCUUUAUCCAAGGAGAUCUGGCUCUCGAAGUUGAGAAGCGGUGCCUCUUCGAUUUUCGAACAAGCAAUUCUGUCGGGGAUUUGGCUCUCGAGAUUCAGAGAACGGUACCUUUUCGAUUUUUGAGAAAGCAAUCCUGCUAGGAGUCUGGCUCUCGAGAUUCGGAGAGCGGUGUCUCUUCGAUUUUUGAGAAAGUAAUCAUGUUGGGAGUCUGGCUCUCGAGAUUCGAAUGGUGGUGCCUCUUCGAUUUUGGAGCAAGCAAUCUUGUUGGGAGUGUUCUCGAAUGUGAGUAAAGGUUAGGCAUGUUUGCUAGUCUACCUUGCCAUGAAGCACAAAGGUUGACACACAGGGACUUUCCAAUUAUCCAGCAGUGGUAUUGUUCCUUUACCCUUGUGGGUAAUAAUAUGGUAGCUAAACCUUCAAAAUUUAUAUGUCUAAACUUUGUCAGUGCUGUUUCUUUGCUAUUCUUUUACCCUUCUUAGUCAUAGCGAUGUAGUGAGAGCUGCAAGCUUCACGUGUCUAAACUUUGUCAGAGAUCUUUGGCAAAGUUAUCUGUGGUACCCAUGAGCUGAUGUUGCGUGUGGAAAGUGGAUGAUUGAACAGUAAGAUUCACAUGCUUUCUAAUUCACCAGAAAUCUUCAGCAGAAUGCCCGUAAUUUCUGCAAAGCUGAGUGCAUGUGACAGGUGCUGACAAGGUUGAAAAAGCAGGUGCCUCUUCGAUUUCUGAGAUCGGCCCUCGUGGUCUCUGAGCAGGCCAGCUUUUGAGAAAGCAAACACCUCUUCGAUUUUUGAGAUCGACCUUCGUGGUCUUUGAGCAGCCAGCUUUUGAGAAAGCAAACACCUCUUCGAUUUCUGAGAUCGGCCCUCGUGGUCUCUGAGCAACCCAGCUUUUGAGAAAGCAAACGCCUCUUCGAUUUUUUAGCAGACGCCUCUUCGAUUUCUGAAGCUCCGUCGAGUGCAGAUUUUUAUAGAGGCUGGCAUUAAGUUCCAAAGCACACUUGAAUCUCCACCAGUAGAAGCUCCCUUCUUGCACUUCUAAGAUCUUGAUUUGUCCGACCUCUUCUCUCUUCAACACCUUUGAAAAUGUCUGGCCCCUCCGACCGUCGUUUUGACUUGAACCUUGUUGAAGAGGCAGCCACGCCUUCUCCAGACAACAUAUGGCGCCCAUCCUUUUUAUCCUCUACUGGUCCUCUUACCGUUGGGGAUUCCGUGAUGAAGAAUGAUAUGACCGCUGCGGUGGUGGCCAGGAACCUUCUCACUCCCAAAGAUAACAGACUACUUUCCAAACGGUCUGAUGAGUUGGCUGUUAAGGAUUCUCUGGCUCUCAGUGUUCAGUGUGCAGGUUCUGUGUCUAAUAUGGCCCAACGCCUAUUUGCUCGAAACCCGCCAAGUUGAAUCAUUGGCGGCUGAAGUGAUGAGUCUCAAACAGGAGAUUAGAGGGCUCAAGCAUGAGAAUAAACAGUUGCACCGGCUCGCACAUGACUAUGCUACAAACAUGAAGAGGAAGCUUGACCAGAUGAAGGAAUCUGAUGGUCAGGUUUUACUUGAUCAUCAGAGAUUUGUGGGUUUGUUCCAAAGGCAUUUAUU
rnacentral:lncRNA from 1 species